rnacentral:lncRNA from 1 species
UAGACAGAUAAGUUCAAGGGGAUAAAAGUACCGUGAGGCUUUUGUACUAGGAGUCAGAUUGCAUUUUGCCCCCUUUAUUAAAAAAUUAGGCAAAAAGCAAACUGAUCUUUUUCUAUUAAAAUUUUUAUUCAUUUCUACUGUUAAAAACUGGUAUGACUAUAUAACCACAUAGUUACACAUAGUAACUCAUUUUGAGGUACAUGAACCAAUUUUUAAUGGUAGAAAUGAAUGAAAUUUUUAAUAGAAAGAACUAAUUUUCCUAUUUUUUAAGUAAAGGAGCCAAAAUGCAAUCUGACUUCUAAUACAGAGGCCUCCAUGGUACUCUUACCAUUCAAGGAAAAUUUAUGCAAUCAAGUAUUAAAGACUUAAAGUUAAUAACUUCAAAUGCUUUUUCACUUUCAACUUCCACUGAAAUUAGUUUACCUGUAAAUGGUACAGUAUUUCAUGAUUCAGUGGAAGCUUCUCAUCGAUAACAAGGUCAAGGUAAGAACGUAUCUCUUUUAACCUUGCAUCUAAACCCUUCAAAGCUGUGAGUUUUCCAGUUACCUGUUAUUAAAACCAAGGUAUAUAUACUCCUAUUGUAAAAAUUUUCCAUAAAAGUAAAAGCUCUAUUACUAACUGGAAUUGAAAAAAUAAAUAAAGAAAGAUAAAAAGACCUCAGUUGCGAGUGUACUAAUGGUUGUAUCUUUUACAUCCCUUAGCAAGUGCUCAACUCCUGUUUGUGAGCGAAAAUGGAGUUAUAUUGGUAACAAAAUAAAAAAAGGGUAACUUUCUGAAAAUAUAAAAAUAUUUCAUCCAAGGGCAUACCGAUCUCUUCAACUUCAUGAGCAGCAAUUUCUGAAGGAACAUGAACGAAAAUCUUUUGGCUCUUUUGAGUGGCAUUCUGCAACAUUACUGGCAUAUUAGUUCAAAUUCCCAACAAAUACAAACAAAAGGCUGCAGCUUCUUAAUAUAAAAAGAACUGCCAUUCCGCCUCAAGAGUCGAGCUCUCUCUCUCUCCAUCAUGCAAAUUUAAAAAAGAUGCAUACAAAAUGGUUCUUACCUCCUUAACCUCUUCAACAUCAUAGUAGGCCUUAGUAGGGAUACCCAACUCCUUAGGUUGGACAUCGAUGAUGACCAAGACAGGAUUCGGGACAUAGCUGCAACACCAAAAGCACUUGGUUAAAAGAUUGGACUUUUAAAAUUGAAGUUAAAAACCAUAUGAGAAACCACUAUUAAUAGAAUCUUACUUGUGGAACAAUCUAUGAAUGUCUAGGUCAUUUUCCCGCAACUUUGGGCCGGUACUAUACCAACCAACAACAUGCUCCUUGGCUAAAACAAUUAUCACAACAAAUCCAGAUUUAAAGAACAUUAAUUACUUCUUCACAGCCGAAACAAGAAAGGAGAAAGAACAAAUGAACUAAAAGUAGCAUAAUUACCAUUAAUCCUCUUGAACAUCGAAAACAUUGAUUCAUGGUAGUUGUGGUCGAGAAACCAUAUGCUCGGGUCCUUCUCAUCUUCCUCGAAAGGCACUGAAAAUUCAACAUUCAACUCUUAAAAACAUUGAUAAAAAUAACAAUGGUGAAUCACGUGUUAGCACAAGCUCACGAUACUAAGAAAUUAUUCUUUAAUUGCAUCAUCUUCAAUAGCAUACAUUCUUUGCCUUCAAUUCAAUAAAUUCAACCAAAGAAGAGGGACCUUUAGGUCAUAUUACCCAACAUUUGCCUUCAAUUUACCCAAAAAAUUCAACCAAAAAAGAGGAACCUUAGGUCAAUUUACCUAACAUUUGCCUUCAAUUCCAUAAAUUCAAGCAGAAAAGAGGGAUCUUUAGGUCAAUUAACCCAAUAUUUGCUUUCAAUUCAAAACCCAACAUAUUCUGAGCUAAAAAACCCUAAAGGCCAAAACCCAAAAUUACUCUAAAAAAACCCAAUAAAUUAACAAUUACAAUUCAACCCAAACAUCAUCUCAAUCAAAGAUCAUGAAAAAAAUAAGAUCUAGAACAAAAGCAAAACAAAUCAGAUCUAGAAUGAAAUCCAGAAAAAAAUAAAAAAAAGUGAAAAAAAACGAAAAUAAAUCGGGGAAACCUGCGUAGCUGUUGGAGACAUCGACGGUGCCUUUGAAGGAAGAACCAAGGAGGACCCCGACGACGCGCUUGCGCGUGUCUUUAGCGACGCGAUUGUAGUUAUCGACGAUACUUAAAAGAACCAAAGGAUGAACUAUUACCUUCUCUAUGGGUCGAGAUGAAAUUUGCUGGGUUUUAAUUACAUCCAUUAUGAACUUUGGGUUUUUAGGUUUUUGGUUUUGUUUUUUCUCUGCCAAAGUGUGAGACUUUGCUUCUUUGCUUUUGGUUUCGUAUUGCUCUUUUAAGAGACUGAUGAGUAUUUUUUUUUUCUUGCGGGACGGGAAACCAAGGGACUGUAGAACAUUAAAAGAGACAUACUUUUGGUUUUAGUCCCUCUAUUAUGUUUAAAUAUGUGAUUAAUCCCUCUAAUUUGUUUCUUUUUCGAAAGAUCUCUAAUUUUAUUUGACAAAUUUUGAUCAAUCACUUUUAUAAUUUUGUUCUCCAAUUUUAAUUUAAAAUUUUUAUGAAUUAAUUUGAGUGAAAUGAAAUUCAAAUUAAAUUCAAUAAUUUUGUUUAAAUUAAAUUAAAAUAUUUUUAAUAAAUUUAAUUAAAAUUUUAUUAACAAUCUGAAUAAGUUUUAGAACUUGUUAGAAAAUUUUAUAUUUUUUAAUAAAUUUUUGGGAAAUAUUUAUAAUUUUUAAUGUUAUUUUGAAUUUUUUUAACCUUUUUGAAGCUUUGAAAUUUUUUUAUUAAUUUUUAAAUAAUAAAAUUUUUAAGUUUUUUGUAAGUUUAUUACUUUUGAAUCUUUAUAAUUUUAAGAUUUUUUUCAUAAAAUUGAAAAUUUUUAUCAAAUUCUUUUUACGAUCUUUAGAAUUUUUUUCAUUAUUUAUAUUAUAUAAUUUUAAUAAUUAGGAUCGGUUGAAUUUUUAAAAUUUUGAGAUAAAAAUAGAAGGACCAAUUUAUUUAUUUUUUAAGAUAAAGAGGAUUAAAUGGAUAAUUACACUAAAGUAAAAAAUAGAAAAAUCUUAUAUCACAAAUAACAUGGUUUUGUUAUUUACAUUUUUGGAUAUUCUAAUUUUAAAAUUAAAACUCAACUCAAAUACAAAUAGCUUGAUCUAACAAUUUGAAUAACUUUAAUAAAUUAUUUUGAAUUAUUUUAUUUAAAUCGAGUUUAUUAAAUCUUAAAAUUUAUGGCCCCUUUGGAUGAGUGUUUAUCUAUAGUGCGGUGCGUUUAACUUUAUUUUUGUUUCAUGCUAUAAUAUCGCUAUAGUAUUUAAUCUCACCACCACCGCUGUUUUUACAUAUAAUAUCGCUAUAGUAUUUAAUCUCACUACCACCGCUGUUUUUACACUAACCAGAAGUAAACGCACCACCCAUCCAAAAAGAUAAAUUUUUUGUUUACCUAUUGUGAAUUUUAUAAUAUUAUAUAUAAUUAUUUAUAUUUUUAUGCUAUAAAUUCUAUUUUUCGUUGGUUUAGAUUAUAGUUUUGAUAGACUAAUAUGUUUUUGAGUAUAGCCAAAUCUAUGUCCUCGUUAUAUUACUUCUACAAUAAUGAUGUCAAUUAAAUUAAAACUCAACUAACAAGGAAAAAUACAAACUAUAAAAUAAUAUCUUAAAAGCUCCGGCAAACAUCAAAAUAUCACGAAGGCAAUCGAUGUGCCGACGCACUUGCUAAAAUUAUAAGUAGCUCUAAUUUUUUUAAGGAACUUUCUUAAUAUGAAUUUUAAUGAAAAUUAUAUAUUAUAUUUUGAAAUGUUUAACUUUAUGUCUAACAUUAGCUUGAUUGAUAUAAUCGAUUUACUUAUGUACUGUACUGUUGUUUAAUUUACAUUAUAUUUUUUUACUAUAAAAACUCGAAAAAUAGUAUCAAAUGAAACCCGUGAAAAAUUCAAAGUUCAAAGUACAAUUCGAUAUAUGAAAUUUUCUUUUAGAGAAAAUCUAGAUAUAAUUAAAAGAAAACAAUAACAAACAAAGGCAACUAAGGCAACUAAAAAUUUGAAGCUUGUUUUUUCAACCUCCUCUCUUCCUGUGGUAUAGGCUUUGAUAGGAUCAUUUGUUGGCAGCAACAGAGGGAUUAGUCACCUAACACUUACAUUUAAACCAAAUCAAAUUGCUAUUGCAAAGUAGCAAUGAACAAACAGACCAUUAUAUCAUGCUUGGUUCACAUGAAUGGCUUAGUCAUUCUUAUCUUAUUCAACACAACAAAACCAUUUGAUAUUUUGGUUGGUUGUAAAACCUAUUCCAUUGAAUAAUUAUUACAGCCUAAUUCUUUAAAAACAAUAAAUAACAACUCAGUACCUUCUUCAAUGAAUGGCUAUUCAACGGUUCUAGUAAUAUACAAAAUUAUUUUUCUUCCUUUUCUACUCAUCUCGCAUCCUCUUCAAACUCCAUCUGAAAUUUUUUCAAGAGAUGUCAAAGAUUAUCAUGUGAGUAAGAAAUUUCUAUAUUUUAUUUAAACUUUCUCUUCUUACUUUCUCUUUACCUGUACUAUUCUCCUUAAGUUAAACCCUAAAACAAUAAACAAUUUACUGUGUAAAACGAAGAGGGGUUUAAAAGAACAACAGUCCUAUAGAGAUUACUUUAUGUUACGUCAUUGUUUCUUGUCAAAGCUUGCUCUUAUGAAUGUAUGCAUCAUCUCCAUCUCAAAUUUGUCUUUUCAGACCCUCAUACAUCAGUUGAAUAAAGAAAUUUGUUGAUGGUAUUAAUGCUUUGGACUAAAGCAUAACAUUAUAUUGAUGAUAAGAGAUUAAAUCAUGUUAAAUUAAAAUAUAAAAAUUAGUUUCCAAGUUGAGUCUAGCAUUGGGAUGAAACCCCAAUUAAAUCAUUUUAUUUAUGGCUUGAUCCAAAGGAGAAGUGCUCUAAGUCUACAUAAGAUUCCAAUAAAAAAAUACAUGAAUUUAAAAUUGAAUCGAAGCUGUUGAAAUAAUCUGAAAAUUAUAAACGCAUAUCACUGAUAGGAUUAUCGAAGAUGCAUGUAACCAUAUAAAAGGAUCAAAUAAAUUUGGGAAAAGUAUUCUAUAGUAAAAGUUAGAUUGUAUUUUGAUCAAAGAAUAAACUGAUAAUUUUUAUGAAAAAUUUCAUUCAUUUUUACUAUUGAAAACUAGUGUUUCUAACAUAAUAGUUAAAUAGUUAUACAUAGUGAGCCACGUGUACUUUAUUUUGAUAUGUAUGAACAUAUUUUUAACAAUAGAAAUUGAUGAAAUUUUUAAUAGGACUUACUCUUUAAUCUGAUGUACAAGAGUUAAUUUACCCAUUUUUUAAAUAAAUAGUACAAAAUAUAAUCUGACUCUUAGUACGAGGUUCUCAAUAAUACUUUUACCAAAAAAUUCUUAAGAACCUUUUUCAUUUAGGACAGUUGUUUUAAAUGGUCUUAUUAAUGCUCCAAGCCCCAUAAAUGUUGGCACAUUUAAGGCCCAUCUCAGAAACAAAGCCAUUUUUAUCACUUAGUUCAAAAACAGGCCUGGCCUAAGUUAGAAUCCAAUAUUACUUUUGCAGUUUGCUUGUAGUUUUUUUCCCUGUUGAAAUCGGAAGUAUAAUUCAUGUUUGUUUUAUAGCUCAUAGAGUAAUUAUUUUCGGGACUCGUACCUGUCCUCCCAAUAAUAUUAUAUUUUAAUUCAAAUUCCAAUUUUUUCAUUGAAAGUACAAUGUACUUUAUCAUUGCAUCGGACAUUUGUUGAUCAAUUAUCCACGUUUUUUGGUAGAAAAAAAACAGCAUUUAGCGAUUACAUCAAAAUUGAAUCAAACCUGUGUAAAGGCAUCACUAUCAAAAAGAAAAACUCCUUGUACUAAAGACGGGGUUCCUCAAACAACAUCAAAAUCAAGGGACUUCUAUUCACGCACUUGGCCAUUCGAUUAGCAACUACAUUCUGAGCUCUUGAUAUAUGACGAAUCCUAAUCUUCCAAUCUUGUUUGAACAAUGUACUGAUUAAUCAUAAUUCAACCAGACUACUAUUAGCAACGCCACCCUCUAGCGGAUACUCCACUAAAAAUACAUUAUCACAUUCUAGUUCUAACCCUUUCUCCCAUGUUAUGAGCAAGCUUUUAAAGAUAGCACUUCAAUUCAAAAAAUCAUUUUCUUACCUACAAUCAUUGAAAAUCCAUAAAACCAUUUCACAUUCAUCAACUCUUUUAUAAAUAACAUCCUUAUUUGCAGUAAAAAAUACGUAACAAAACUCUAAGCCCUAAGCCUACUAUGGGGAAUCCAUUGACUUUGCCAAGAAUCUCCUUUUACAAAUCCAAAAUCUUCAAUAUGCAAGUCUUUAAUGUGAGGUUCUUUCAUGUCUGCCACAAACUAGCCAAUCCAUUCGUGCAAAGGGAGGCAAAUGAUAGUGGAAACUAAAGAAGAAAUUCACUUUAAACAUGAAGUUGUUAUCAUUCUUAUACAAAAAAGAAAAAAAAAAAAAAACCCCAUUAACUCGAAACUUGAAAAAGACUUUGCCAUAGAUAUUCUUUUCAUUUUUUUCUAUGCAUUUUCCCUUCAAAUGUUUGAGGAGAUAUCUACCAAACUGAUUCAUUUGCACAUGUAGCAAUUCCUAAUGUUUUGUAGGUCAUGAAUCCCACUUAUUCGUUUUUGGUGGAAGACUCUUUUAUAUUUGGUAGGGUGUUCAAAUUUUCAAUUUAAAUUUAAUUUAAUAAUUGAAUUGCAUUUUUUGGUUAAUUGAUUGUUUAUCAUUAAUUUUAUAGUUUGGACAAAAAAAAAUAGGAUCAUGGGUAAGCUUUUUCGGCCUAGGCUCAACCCAAAUUUUUUUAAAAAAAUGUUAUUUUUUUACUGUUUUUUCAUUGUUUUAUCAUUUUGCUGUUAUAUUACUACAUUUUGUUGUUAUUAUUUAGAUAUUGUAUAACUCUUAUUUUAUUAUUAAUUUUGCUACUAUUUUAGAGGUAUUUGCUUACUAAAUUGCACUUAAUUAUCUUAGUGUUAUUUAAGGAUUUUUUUCAUUUGUUAGGAAACAUUUAUUUUAAUGUUUUUAGUGUAUUUGAUGUAUUAUAUUUUUAAAUCUUUUAUAUAAAAAUUUUAAUACAUGCGGGACGAGUUAGGCUUGGACAAAAUUUUAGGCUCAUUUAUCGACAAAACAAGACUAUAUUUUUUACUUGACCCUACCCAAAAUUGGCCUGGCCCAUAAACAACUCUAAUUAUAUUUUAUUGCAAUUUUUUUUAAUUCCGGUUUUUGAUUAAUUCUAUUUGGUUGAAGUUAACCAACUGAAUUACAUGUUUAAUUAAAAUUAAACUCUAAUUUACCGAUCAAAAUGAAUUUUUUUGUUUAAUUGGUUGGUUGUUGAUUAUACUUCAAUUGAUGAUCAGAAGAGAUUUUUUAAAAAUUUCGAUUUUUAAUUAAUUCGUUUCAGUAAAGGUUAAUGAACCAAAUUAACUAGACUGAUUAUUUGAAUAUCUAUAACAUCUAAUAACCAUGAUAAGUCUCGAUAAAAUUUGUGAUAUUAAGCUAGUCUAAAUCUCUAAAUAGAGUCAAAACUCUAACCCUAAACCUUUUACUUAAAAGGGCAUCACAAGAAUCCUUGACCUACUAGGAGUUGGUCAUGAAUGCGCCACUUAUUUGUUGUUAUAGCAAAGGUAAAAAAAAAAACCUUUAGCUUUGUUCCAAGCAACCCUAACCCUAAACUCUAUAUCUAAAUGAAGUGUUUGGAUAUGAAAAAGUUGUUCCAAGGAACCCUAACCCUAAACCCUAUAUCUAAAUGAAGUGUUUGGAUAUGAAAAAGUUGUGGAAAGGGGGGACUAAAAUGAAUAAGAAAUGCCAAAGACAAAUAAAAGAAAGAUAAAGCACCAUUCAAUGUCCCAUGCUGAAUAUAACAACCUUAGAAAGUGGGUCAGAAAAGAGCUGAAAGCAGGGCAAAAAGACAAAGCAAAGGUAGAGAGGUUUUCACGUGUAAAGUGGAGGGAAGAAGAAGACACUCUUUAAAUCCUUUAUAUGAGUAUUUUAAAAUAAAUAAAAUUUAGUCACACUAAUAUUAUAUGCAUAGAAGGCGAAAUAAGCAAAUAAAAAUGUUUAAGUAUGAGUAGGGGUGAAAUUAGAAUUUUUUUUGGAAGGGUUAAAAGUAAAUUAUAAAUGUUUAGGGGUUAAAAUGAAAUUUUAUCACUGUAUUAAAUUAUAUUCUUAUAAUACCCAAAGGGGCUCUUAAACAAUUCCAUCACUUUGGGGGGGGGGGGCUUGCCACUGAGUAUGGGAUUGUAAGACUUUUUAUUUUGAAUUUGAGAUUGUAAGUUUCUUCAACAUUAUUUUAAAAAUGUCGAACAAUCUAAUGUAAUGAAACUUUUAUUAUGGUGUUAUUAAUUAGAAUUCAAUUAUUAAAUCAAAAGAGAAAAGAGACUAAAUUUUUUAGAUUAAAAGUAAAUAAACUAAAUUUUAAAUUAAGUGAAAAAUAUAGGGGCUCAGACAUAAUUAGAUCAUAUAUAUAUGUCCCCUACACCCAAUAAUGGCUGCGAGACUAUGCCAGCCCCCUAUUAGGCCCAUGAAGGCCUGGUUUUAGAUUUUGAGGGCAAUUAAUUAGUGUUAAGUUUGUGAUAUGGUAUAUGUAGUCUUGAAUUUUCGGAUGAAAUUUUUGAUAAGGACAAUAUUAAACUUAAACUUUAAAAUAAACAUAAAAAUACCUCCAAAAGUAAGGAUUUAUAAUUUUCUUUUACGAUUAUUCAAUCACAUGAGACUACAUGGAAAUCAGAUCAACUAUGUUCAAUAUAUAAUAAAUUAAAUAUUCUUAGAAUGUUUCAAGACUAUUUUUUUUCUAAAACGAAAACCCAUGUCACUAAUUUUGUAUAAAGAAUUAAAUUAGAGCAUAAAGGAUUAAAUUUAUUUUCUGUAUAAUAAAGGGACUAAAACCAGAAUUAAACCUGUCAAUCACCUGCAAAUUGGCUCAUGUGUCUCAUGAGCUUUUCUUUUUUAUAGCUUUGUGGAGCCCAUAAUAAGUCAUUUACUUACAAGUGUGAAAAAAAAAACCCUCUUUUGUACUCAAAUAAUAAUGGGGAUAGAGGAAUCCUCUUAGUCAAAAAGAUGCCCACAAAUUCAAUGGUGCCUAUAAUCUGAAAGGACAAAUCGAAUUGGAAAAAAAUAAUCAUUUGAUAAUCAGUUUGAUUGGAUUCCAUCAAAGGGUCUCCAAAUAUAUCAAAAGAUUCCAAGCUAAAAACAAUUCUAAAAUAGGCACAAGAGAUAAUAGGUUUCUUAUUUAUUUAAUUAUGAUUUUAAAUAAACCAUGUGUUUAUUGCUGAUAAAAGUUAAAAAUAGUGGUUACAGUAAAGUUAAUUACUAUAAUUAUAAGAUAAAAAAUUUUACCACACUACAGUAAUCACUCAUUCAAAGUCACACUAACAAUAAUCACUCAUUCAAAGUCACACUAAGUUAUAAUUUUCAUUUGUUAAGUAGACAAAGUUAUAGUAAUAAUUGUAACAAAGAUAUUAGAAAUGUUAGAAGAAGAGAAUAAUACAAAUGGACAAACAUGGAGGGAUGAGCAAGGAUGGGAUAUAAGAGGAGAGAUGGUUUGAAGUUUACAUCAUUUCAAAUAUGAAUUAAUUUUGAGAUUUUGAUUUAUUUCAAGUUUAAACAUUUUAAAUUUAAAUCAUUCAUUCUAUUGAUUGAAUUUUUUUUAAAUCAAGCUAUUUGAGAGUUAAGUCAUUCAAGUUUUAAGAUUUGAAACUUGGGGCUUUGAUAAUUUCAGGUUAUUAGCAGUUUUAACAAAGAUAUUAAGCAAGAAAUGUUAGAAGACAAUGAUUCACAUGGACAAACAUGAAGGGAUAAGGAUGGGGUAUUGUUGAAUGGGUUGGAUUGAUUUUGAAUUAUUUCGAGUUCAAAUUAUUUUUAAUUUAAAGUUUGGGAUUCAUUUUAAGUUCAAGUCGUUUCGAAUUUAGACUAUUUUAAAUUUGGGUCAUUUGUGUUUGCUACUCAAGUUUUUCGAAUCAUGUUAUUUCAAAAUCAGAUUAUUUAAAAUUUAGGGUUCGACACUCGCAUUUGAAUCAUUUCAAAUUAUUUGUUUGUAUCUCUUAUUUUAGAUUAAUUUAUUUUUAAUUUUAAAUAUUUUUCAUAUCCAACUAAAUAAAAUUAUAUUAUUUAUUUUUAUAAUCAUGGAAGGGAGGCUCCAAUGUUGAAUGUUUGUCUUGGAUAGCUCCAAAUGACUAAAUACACACCCCAAGCUACCUCAUUCGAUUCAUUUUAUGUCAUCCAAAGGAGCCAUUAAUGCUCGAAUUGACAAUCUAUGAGAACUAUAUACAUCAUAAUUUGCCCCUCUUAAUGUAGGUAAAUUAACAUAAAAAAUUAUCAAAUAAUAUGUUCAUAAGGUGAUGAUAUGCACCUAAGUGAACAAGUUCAUAUUUGAGCAAUGGGUCCAUUUGUGGGGUGUGGGGUACCAUUUAACAGCUAAGAAAAUAAUUGGGGUUUGUGAGGGGAAUAGUCAAGCUGUAGGAGACAUAAGCAUUUAACUCUAAAAUAACCCUUAUCUUCAAACAUCUAAAUGGAUCCCACAUGUUAUUUAUUGGAUUUAUAUGGGACGGAAUUAGAAAUUAUUUUUAAAAGAUUAUAAUUGAAUUAUGAAUUUUUAUGAGAUUAAUAUUUAAUUUUUUCUAGAAUAAGGUAGAUGUUGAUUACGAAUUUUAAAACUAUUUUAUACACAAAAUAAAAAUCGAAAUCUUGACUACUGAUUAAAGUAAAAAAAUCCUUUAUUAUUUCACUUAACUUCCAUGGGUACAACAAUUUUAUAUCAAUUCUUCUGAUUAUAACUGAUGGAUCUGAUUCUACUACAAUCACAAUGUAUGAAUACAAUUUCCUACCUAUUUUUGAAGAAUAUUAUAUAGGUGUUGAUGGCCUAAUGGACCUUUAACAAAACCCAAAACUAGUCCUCCUAGUUUUGAAAAUAAUGGAAAUCCAAAUAAAAUUCAAAGUGUUGGCUGAUGAAAUUGUGUAGCAGGUAGAAAACAUUGAAAAGAUUGAUGUGAAAUUGAAAUCCAGGCACCUUUUUCUUUCUCCCCUCAUUAAGCCUAGAGAUUUUCAGGUUUUUUCCAUUGAAUGGGAAAAUGAUGUGAAAAUGAAAUUACACCUGUUAAGCAUACAUGUUUUAUACUCUUAACUUGAUUGAUGUUGAUAUUAUUAUUAGUACAGAAAUAUAAGGUUUUGAAUACAUUGAAUCGUAUUAUCCUCUUAUUUAAAGGUUAAGAAAAUGUUAUGGGUAAUUUUAAGUAUUAUAUUAACAAAAAGUAUUGGUAUUCCUCUUCAAUUCCUCACUUAUUCUUUUUAUACUUACUUAAAUAUAUUUUAAUUAAAUUCUCUAAAUAUUAUUACCAUAUUAAUCAUAUCUUUUUAUUAAUGUAAUUACGAGUUUGGAUGUUAAAUUGUAGCUCGAAUAUGAUAUGAAGUAUAUUUAAAACAUGUAAAGCAAGUUUUAAAAAUUGAUGUUCGGUUAGCAAAAGUACAUGAUUGAUAUAAUACUUGAUACUUGCAUGACUGAAUUAAAACAUUUUGAAAUUUAAGAAUCAAUUUAAAAUUAGAGUUAAAAUUUAAGGAUGUUUAUUGUAAUUAACCCAUUAAUUAUGUUAUUGAUUUGAUUAAUUAUGAACUAAUAAUGCGAUAUUGUUUAGAGCAUAAUUGCAUCAGUAAAUCAAAGUUGAUACUACAAUGAUAAAAAAAAAAUACUUCAUUGAAAUAUUAUUGUAGCUUAAGGGUGGAUUUGGAUGGACAGUGCGUUUACUCGUAGUUAGUGAAAAUACAACGGUGACAAUGAGGUUAGAUAUUAUAGCGUGAGACAAAAAGUAAGCUAAAUAUACCCACCCUAAAUAUUUAAUUGAAACGAUAUAAAAGUUAACCCAUAAAGUGAGAAUGCAAUUAACCUUACUGUUACGGGUAUACAUACAUUUUGUUAGAUGAAUUUGACUUCAAGAUUUAAAUUGGUAUUUAAGAUUUUAUUUUUAUCCAAUUAGGUAUUUGAACUUGGUUACUUGAUUUAAAUUGGUACUUGAACUUGUUUGAACCGAUUUGAAUUAUAAAGUCAAGUUCAAGUACCUAAUUGGACAAAAAAUGUUAGGUAUUGAAUUGAACCUUGAGGUCAAGUUUAGCUAUCUAAUUGGAUAAAAAAAAUAAACCCUUAAGUACCAAUUUGAACCUUAAAGCUAAGUUUAGGUACCAAAAUGUAUAUUUACCCUACUUUUAUUCAUUAGCCAAUUUUUUUACCGAAGACCUUUUUGAACAACUCUCACAUGGCUAUGUAACCAAAAAGCUAGGCAUCCGACAAGUCUCCUAAUCCAAUACCAUCACCAUUAUCAUCUUUCCCAUGGGCCAAAAAUUUCUUUUAGAUCCCUAAUUUAAUUACUCUUUUUUUUUGGCCUUCUCUUAGAAUUACACUCGAUUUAAAAAAAAACACCCCCAAGCUUGUUGAAUUUCACAAUAUAUAGCUUUGAAAUACACCAAAUAUUGAAGUUGCAAUUUUGUCAUGCAAGUUGACAAAUUUAUUUGCCCAUAUUGCAAUUGCUAUAUUGAAGUUGUCAACACAUAUAUAUGGUUGUAACUUGUGUAGAUUUUAGCUUACUCUAAAUUUCUUGGACAAAGAAUUUGUGUUUGCUCACUAAAUUUAAUGUAUAUUUUUUACAAUAUUAGGGGUAAGGGAUGGGGAUAACCAGAAAUAUGACAAGUAGGGGCGAAGUUAAAAUCUUUUAGGGGGUCGGAUUAAAUGAUAUAUUUUUAUGAUAAUAAAAAUGAGAUUUCGUCAUUUUAAUAGCUUAUAUCUUUAUAAUUUUUAGAGGAUUAAAUCAAAUUUUUAUAAUUUUUUGGGAGCCAAAGUACAAUCUUACCAUUACUAAUUUAAAAUUGUAUAGAUUAUAAAGAGCCUAAAUAAAAAAAAGAAAAGAUUUUACCAACCCCUAGAUCGGCCCCUGAAUAUAACAAAGUUUGAACUCGUUUCAAAUGAGUGUCUGACAAGAACUUUAACCAUCAUUCCAUUCAAGUUAAGACAAUUUAAUAUCUACUUUUAAUUUCAUCGAAUUAAAUAAAUUUCAUCUAUUAUAUUAAUUUCAUUAAAUCAUUUUAAUGUGAAAGAUGACUUAGUAUGCAUGGAUAAUUUUAUUAUUUUAAAACAAAAUUAACUUUGAGAUUUUGUGAUUGAGUUGUAUAUAUUUUGAGCCAAUUUUUUUAUUUACAAGAAUUACUCAAAUGAAUUAGCAUAAGUUUUUGGUUAUUUAAUUUGAUACCAAACAAUCCCAUAAUUUGGAAAUGUUAGAGAAUUGGUCUUAAAAAAUUCAAAAUUAAAGGGUGAAUUACAUAAAUAUCACUUAUAAGCUAAGAUUAAAUUUAUAUUCCGGUUGCGAUGUUACAUUCCGGUCACUCGUCCAUUAACUUGUGUUACCCCCUUAUUAAAAUGACGAUGUAACAAAGUUAACUCAAAGGAUUAUACCCUUGAAAAAUAGUUAAAAAUCAGUUUGAUACUUUAAGAAUUUUCUAGAGAUAAUUUUAAAAUUAAAAACCUAAAAAUUAUUAAAAAAAACUUGAAAAUUCAUAAUUAUUUUUUAUGUACAAUAUACCAAUAAAAAAUCACAUUAAACUACUAAUAUUUAGCGGAUUCUUUGCAAACAGUUGCAAGCCCUCAUUCUAGUCAAAAGCUAACUUUGCAAUGCGAUCAACUUCCAUGUUUUCUUCUCUAAGGAUAUGAACAAAUUUUCAUUCUGUUGAAUUCACCUGAUAAGUGGUGAAUGAGAAGGCCUAGUAAACAUUUCCUUAAUAGAUUGUAUAACCUCCAUGCUACCUGUCUGAAUUGACGCUUUGUCCCAUUUCUUGUUUUGAAGAAUAAUCAAUCCAUUAGAAUACCCAUAAUUCAGCAUUGAAUACAAAACACCACCCCAAUCUUCUAUUAAAUCCAAUAAUCCACUGGUCAUGAUGAUCCUUCAGCACUCCACCUGCAACAGCUUCCUCCAAGUCCAACUUGACUGCUCCAUCAAUAUAUAAUUGGAUCCAAUUACCUAUAAUAGAGUAUGUUGUCCGUGUAUUUGACAUUCUGAUAUUUAUUUUUAAAAAUUAUAAUUAUAUAAAAAAUUCAAAAGUUCACUUGAGAUGUACAUUUAAAAAUGAAUUGGCACGAAAACUAUAAAAAUUAGAUAUUUAAAUUAAUAAGUAUCGAGUGUAGUAACAAUGCAUAUUGUAUUUCUAAUGAAAAAUAUAAAUUUAAACAUUGAAAAUAAUAUCAUUAAAAAAAUAAUCAUAAACUCUAAAUAUAAAUAGUAAAUCAAAGAUAAAAAAAUACCGAAAAAAGAAUUACAUAUUUGAGCCUAGGAGGGCCACGUAGGAAGGAUUCUUUCAUGAAAAUUUCUAGUUACGUGUUUGUAUCAUUUUCACCAAAAGUAAUUAUUAGUCAUUUAACCACCAAGACAAAAUUUUGUGUCCACAGUAUGUUUUUGUACGUAAAAUUGGUAGUUGAGAUUGCCUUGUCCACAUUUCUCUCCACAUGGUGUCGAGUGAAGGAUUAUUGAUGAAACCCUAAUUUAUUUUUAAGAAUCAGAUUUAUAUUCUAUCUAUUUGAUAUUAAUAAUGUAUAAAUUCAUAUGUUUCUAAUUAUAUAUAUUUAACCUUUUGUUUCGUUUUGUUGAUUGAGUAUUAACUUGAUUGUUAUGAAUAUUGUUGCCAGUACAUGAGAAUGUGGGUUCAAGUGCAUUGAAGCACAUUAUCAUCCUAUUUAAAGGAUAUGAUCAGAACAUAUAAUGAUAUCAUACAAAUCAAAACUCAUCUAGGACUUUCUUUGCUCUAUUUUCAAAAGUAUACCACCGAUUGAAUCUUCGAUUCUUGAUUCAAUCGGCCGACAUGAUCGAUCUAAUUUUGAUAACACUACCCUUCCUAACGAAAUCUAGCUUUUCGUCUUGUCAUUGCUCUUAAAGAUAUUAAUUGGGUCCAAUUACGGUUUUGUUCUUAUUCAAAUUAUGAUUUUGUUGUUAUACUAAAUUUAAUUCGAGCAUUUAGCUUCUACAUUUUAAUUCCUUUUAUCUUAGUAUCCUUAAUAUUAGGGGGAAGCUAGAUAUUCAGUUUUAAGAGGUUAAAAUUAAAUUUCAGAAGUUUGGAGGAGCUGAAAGUAAAUUUUUUUAUUUAAAUAGUGCUUAAAUUUAAUAUUUUACAACUGGAAGGGGCUAAUGUUGAAUUAAUCCAAUUAAUAUUAUACCUUAGUCAAAAUCACUAACACUAGCGUUAAUUGGUUGAUUUAACCUUAAUUUUACAUUUUCACCAUAAUUAAAGUGCGGAAAUAAAAUUUUAGAAUUGGAGAGAGGGGACAAAGGUAAAAAAUUUAUUUUAUAAAACCUUAAAUUAAAUAAUUAAAAUUUAAAAAUAACUAAAAUUAAGGGUGAAUCUAUUUCUUUUAAAUGGGCCAAAUUUUAAUUAUAAAUUUUUAAAAGGUCGAAACAUAAUUUUAUCCUUUAUUAAGUUAUAAUUUCAUACUUUUAAGAGAUUAAAACGGAUUUUUUUUUCAUUUCUGGGGCUAAAAUGUAACUUUAUAAUAUAUUAAUUUAUAAUUUUAUUAUUUUAGAAGGGACUAAGUAAAUUUGAUAUCAUUUUACUUAAUCAAAAGUCAAGAGACUUCUAUCUAUCAAGGCGAAGCUAGAAAUUUUUUUAAGGGAUUAGAAAUUAAAUGUAAUUUUUACGAUAGUAAAAAUAUAAUUUCACCAUUUUAACAGCCUAUAUCUUUAUAAUUUUUAAAAGAUUAAAUCAAAUUUUUAUCAUUUUUAAGGGUACCAAAGUGUAAUUUUACCUUUACUUAUUUAAAAUUUUAAAAAUUUUAAAGAAAUAAAAAAAAUUUCUAUUUUAGAGGGCUCGAACUCUGCCAUCCCCUAAUUUCGCCCCUAUCCAUCAAGAGGCGAAAAGAGAGGUUAGCAAUAAUCUAAAUCUUUUAAAAAUGAUAAAAUCAUCAUUUAAGUGUUUAAAAUUUUAUAAAUUAUAAAAAUAUAGUUUUCAAAUCCACUAACUUAAUUUUCUGGCUUGCCGUAUGAACUAUUGAAUUGCUUGCAAUAUCGACAAGUGAAAGUACAUUAAUGCAUAAAUAAUGAAGAAGAAUCACAUGGCAGCCAAAGUUUGAUCAUUCUCAUUUAAUUUCCAUUCCCCCCAUAGUAUAACAAAAUUUUAUAAUCUGAUCCUCUUGCCAUAUCAGAUUUUGGGUUCAAGAAACAUGCACGUUGCAAGGCUUGGAUUUUUGAACCACAAACUUGUACCAAAAAUCAAUGAAAUUUUAAGCAUAAAACAUACACCAAGGGGCAUGAACUUAGAAAAAUAUAGAGAAUCGAGGUUUAUAUAUAAAAUUUCAGAGUCAAAAGUUAAUUAUGAUUUUUACUCGAAGUUUGCAAUUUAAAUGUGAAAAGAUAGACAAAAAAAUAUGUUUGCUUCGAAUUUGUGAAAUUCCCUACAGUUUUUGUCGCUGUUGAUCUUUGCAUCGGGAAAUUCUUGCUGGCUGACACCAUCGGUGGCGCCGCCUCCGUAGGCGGUUUACUCAUCAAACAAGGAAAAAAACUGUCGUUGGCAAUUAAUAAUAUAUAAUUUUAUGGCCACCUUAAGAAUUGCUACAUUAAUAAGCAAGGUUGUUUAUAUCAUAUUUGACCAGCUGGUUGGUUUUAUUAGAUUAAAAAUUAUUGAUCCGUUAUCCGAUUAAGAUUGACUCAAUCUUUUUUACUUGGGUCUGUACAGUUCGUUUUUAUGAGUUUACACGUAGUAAGUUCACAUUAUCAUGGAAGUGAAUUUAUACUUAGGGAACAUGUGUUAGCCCUAGAAUAUGGUACGUAUUGACAUGUAUGAGGACCUAUUUAACACGUCACAUCCGUGAACCGUGUCCUAUAAAUAAAAAAAUUAGCCUCCAUGAAAGAUAAACUCACAAAAACACUCAAAAGAAAUCAGUGAAAAUAUUAACCCUUAGGAAUAAGUAGGUUAUGAAUGGCUUGAAAUCGGAUUAAAAAUCGAUUUUAUCUAUUUUAAAAAAAUUUAUAUAAAAAUUUAAUAUAUUUUUUAAUUAAACCGACGCAUUGAUUGAAUUUUUUUUCUUAUAUAAGAGAAACUAUGACCCAACACUGUAGUAAAGAAAAACUGUUUAUUUACAAAUCUUUGAUAAUGAACUCGAAACUAUAAAUACGAACAUUUAUAUAUAUAAAAUAUAAAUUAAUUAAUCAUUUGAACAGGUUGAUACUAAAUCGAUUCAAUUAAAUCAAUGAAAUAUAAAAACACAACCCAAUCAUAAUUUAACCCUUUUGCUCAUCCUAAAUACACUCUCACUCAUUUUCCGAUGCUCAUCAAUCUUGCCUGAAAUUUUUUUGAUAGCAUCUUUGGGUGUAUAUAUAUAUUUAUGACAUAUAGACACAUAUUCCUCAUAGUUUUUUUACCUUCCUCAUUCUUCGUAGACUCUAAAUUCCAUCAGAACUCGACCGUUUCUUGGUACACAAGUCCCAUGCAUGCUUUUCCAAAAUUAGAUCAGUAAUGUCGUACAUAUAUAUUCAUCUCUAAUAAUAGAAGUGGAUAAUGACGAUAAAACGAUCGCAAAGCAAGAAGAAAAAACACACACAGAUUCAAAUUUGUGCUGUAUGGUCCAUACAGAUCUCCUUAUUUUGUAACUGUAUGUAUUUCUUCAACAAGUAGCGUGAUUGGGGUCACACAAUCUCUAACAUCAUCGCAAACAAAUAUAUUUUUUUGGUAUUUUACAUAUCCGUUUUAUGAUCUAUAUUUAGAGUUCGUGGUUAUAAUUUGACUCAUUGAUUUUAAAAUUUGAAUUUACGUUUUUUCUUUAAUAAUACAAUGUAUUUUACCAUUCCACUCAAUGUUUAAUAGAAUCAAAUAUAUUAUUGAUAAGAAUUGACAUGCACUAUACAUUAGAUUCUCCAUAAUAUUAUUUGUGAUAUAUAUAUAUAUACCCAUAUAUGACAUAGAGGAAACAUAUAAUUCGAAUCCUUGUAAAUCAAAAGAUAGUGGAAGCAAAUUGAAUGUUGUGUAAUUCACCAUAUAAUAUAUAUUUACAUGUAAAUUCAAUUUGUCUAUUUAUCAACCACACGUAACACUAGCAAGUAGUACAACAAUAAUAAGUUAGGCAAGGUUUUUAUUCCAAAAUAAUGCAAACAGCUGGCAUGGGAUGGGAUGGCAGCAUAAUUUAUGAAUGAUAAUACAUGACCAAAUUUUUCGAUUUAUCUCAACAUUAAUAAUUAGAUGUAAAAUUUGGUAAUAAAAAUGAUAAUUUCAUAUCAUAUAUGCUUUUUUUUAGAUAAUGCUUAUAAUUAUUUAUAAAUAGGAGAAUAAUACAGUUCAACAUACUCAAACCUACGUCCUCCUGCAUUGACAAUAAUGCCCAUGUCAAUCGAACUAAAAUUACCCAUAGUUUCACUCCAACUCAUAAAUAGGAGGAUAAUACGCUUCAGCACACUCAAAUUCACGUCCUUUUGCAUUGACAAUAAUGCCUAUACCAAUCGAACUAAAACUCAAUCGAUAUUUCUAUAGAUUUUAUUUAAAAAUAUAAAAAAAUAAAAAUAGCCUAAUAAUUGUAAAAGAAUUUUAAUCAAGCGUGAUUAACUUGUGAGACCAAUUCAAUCAAAUACUUAAAUAUAAUAUGGAUAAGGAUAAAUUCUAACAAAGUAUAUGUAUAUAUAUGCUUUUCAAAUUUAGUCCCAUGCCUAGUUCCAAAGCUAUAAAAAGUAUAUGCUUUCAAUAAAGGUUGAUAGAAAACUCAUACAAUUUCCAAAGGAAAAUGAAAGGUAAUGCUUGAAUGUGGAAUUAAGUGCAAAGUAGAGCAUUAGUAAGUAAGCCAUUUAUAGCUUUGAUAUUAAGACUCCCCCAUAGGCCAAAGCCAGUAGGGACCAAUACUAGAUGGUUAGGUACAAAAUAGUAUAUAUGCUGGCCCUCCCUUUACACAUCUAUUUUCUUUUGAAGGUCCCCCAUUCAUUACCAAACCAAUGGAUUGUCUCUUAUCAAAAAAAAAAAUCUUCUAUUUUUAAAAUUUUUAUUGUUCGGUCAAUGAUCACCAAUGAUUAAAGAUCAUAGCAAUUAAUUUGAAAGAAUGGUUGAAUUUGUUUUAAAUUGAGUUAAUUUGGAUUAAAUUGAUUUUAAUUUAAAAGUUUUGGGGUAUAUGUGGUUUCAUUUUUUUUUCAUUUUAGUCAAAUUUAAGUUUAUGUUAUUUUGGAUUGUUGACAUUUUAUGAUAAAUUAAAUUAGGUCAAUUUAAAUUUAAAUCAAUUGAAUUAAAUUUUUUUCUUUAUUCCGAAUUGAUGGUAUAGAUAAUUAAAAGGUAAAUUAUAAAAAUAGUUAUUUUUGUUUGUUUUAAAUUAUAUUUUAGUCAUUUAUGUUUGAAAUGUUACGUUUUAAUCACUUACGUUAUUGUUUUGUUAUGAAGUGGUCACUCUACCGUUAAACCCCGUUACCUCCCUAAUGGUACGUGGCAAUCCAGAUGGGUUUUAAAUGUCAACUUGGAUAUCCAGUUGCUGAGAUGAAAAUAGGCUUUUAAUUAAAUAAAUCUAAUUUGGACUACCACGUAGGACAUCCAAGUUGGCAUUGAAAAUCCAUUUAAACUACCAUGUAAGCUAGCCGUUAGGGAGGUAACGGAGCUUAAUGGUAGAGUGAUCACUUCGUAACAAAACGAUAGCGUAAGUGAUUAAAACGUAACAUUUCAAACAUAAGUGACUAAAAUGUAAUCUAAGGCAAAUAAAAGUGACUUUUUUUUACAAUUUACCCAUAAUUAAACAUGAUGUUAAUUUUUUAUACUUAAUCUCCCUUCCCGAUUUUCAACUUAUGCUUUAAUUGUUUGAGACAUGAUCCCUCCAAAUAUGAAAAAAAUCACAAUUUUUUGGGGUCAUUGGAUUUGCCAAAUGCUUGACCAAAUCAUCAAAUUCAUUUUAGGAUGCAUGCAUAACACUGAUAAUUAAGAAAAUUAUCUGAAAACUGACAAUUUUCUUCUUUCUUUUUCAUUUUUAAAUGAUCGAAUUUCAUUAAAUUAGAGUAGUGAGUAGGUUGUAUUAAUUUAUAGGGGCUGCAAUGAUUUCAGGAUCAAAAAAUAUAUAUGGUUUGAUAGAAGCGGUGGAUGUGGGGAAUUAUUGAAAAUAUGAAAGGGAUAGACAAUAAUAUAUUGUGCUAUGUCAUAGCAUAUAGUCCUUAUGUCCCAUCUCAUUAUUCUUUAUGAAAACUUAGUUUAACCAUUAAUAUGUCUUCUUAAUUUAUUAAUUAUAUUUAUCUUCUAGGAUCACAUUGACCAUAAAUUAUAUAGGCUUUUAAUAUUAUAAACUAUACCCUAAAAUCUAGGUUCAUGUAAACAUUACAUUGAAUAGUCCCUAGCUCACAAUAAUUGAAUAUAAAACAUGCUUCAUUUGCCUGCAUCAAAAUUUAGGGUAUGCAAAUGCUUAUUUGACGAUGAAUCGAGUUUAGAAAUAGGUUAGGAUUUUUACACGACGAAGAUAAAUUAAGAAGUAUGGGAGUUUGGGCUCUAAAAUACUUUUUAGUUAAUUCAAGAGGUUCUUAGUGAAAAGAGUAAAAGCUAUAAAGUUGUAGGGGAAAAAGAUAUAUAAGAGAAAGGAUAUCUGCCUUUGAGUGCAUAUGGCCCUUAUGGUUUUGUUAUUUGGAGUUUCCAUACACCUCAAAAGGCCUCUUACCACUUAAGUGCUGUUAACCCUUUAUAUAGCACAAGUCUCUCCCAUGCUUUGUCGAUGUGGGAUUUGCUUAGUGUGCUAUGUUCACCCCUUUAGGGACUUAGUAUCCUCACUAAGGUUUGCCCCACCAUCGCUCAAUAGCCACGACAAGUGGCUCUGAUACCAAUAAAUGUCCUAGUGAACACCCAGUCUAGUAUGAUAUUGUCCGUUUUGGGCACACAUGGCCCAUAUACCUCCAAAAGGCCUUUUACCACUUAAGUGUUACUAUCCUUUUAUAUAGUCUAGGUCUCUCUUAUGCUUUGAUGAUGUAGAUUUCUCUAAGGUAUUACAUCCACCCCCCUUAGGGACUCAAUGUCCUCAUUGAGGUUUGUCCCACCAUCACUCAAGAAGCACAACAAGUGACUCUGAUAUCAAUAAAUGUCAUAGCCAACACCUAACCCGGUAAGAUAUUGUUUGCUUUAAGCGCACAUGACCCUUAUAGCUUUAUUCUUGGGAGUGCCCAUAUACCCCCAAGAGGCCUUUUACCACUUAAGUGUUGCUACCCUUUUAUAUAGCCCAGGUCUCUCUCGUGCUUUGCCGAUGAAGGAUUUGCCUAGGGUAUUACAUUCACCCCCCUUAGAGACCUAAUGUCUUCGCUGAGGUUUGCCCCACCAUCGCUCAAGAGGCAUGACAAAUAGCUCUGAUACUAAUAAAUGUCAUAGCCAAUACCCAACCUAGUAAGAUAUUAUCCGCUUUGGGAGCACAUGGCCAUCACGACUUUGUUAUUAUAAGUGCCCAUACACGUUUUUAGAUUUAGGUACUCAUGCUAAAAAUAAAGAUGAUGAACAUGGAAAUGAAAAGUAAAGCAUCCAUUAAAGUAAGGGUUGAGGAAAAUAUAAAAGUUGAGUUUUUUUACAAGAAAACUUAAAGAACAUGAAACUAAAAGCUUUCAACAAGAUCAUGUCGAUUUCCUUUCUUCCAACAGCGAAUAUCUCAUCAAAUUUCUCAUAGCUAGAUCCAAUUUCAUCAAGAUGGUUUGAUCUACUAUCAAUUAUUCAAAUCAAUAAUAAAACUAUUCUUCUCUUGAAUAAUUUUUUCAAGGUUUUCAUUAGCCUUCUCUAGAUCAACAAUCACAAAAUAUUUUUCUUUUAUAACCUCAACAAAUUUCAGAUUGACCUCCUUUAUAUCAGCAAUUUGUUGACUCAAGGAUUUGUUCACAUCACAAACCAUUUGUCAUUUCUCCAACAAAACUAGAUUUAUCCAUAGGAGGGGGACAUAGAGUUGAACUCCAUUCCUUCCAUUGCACAACUAGCAAAUGCAGGCUCUCACAAGUACUUUAUGUGUAGCUCUAAUGCUAAUUGGAAAAAUUCAAAGUUUGGCAGUAAGCUAUGGCAACUUAGUGUGCUACGCGAUGUAGAUAGAAGCCUUGUCACACAACUUAACAAAUGCAAAGAUAAUGAAAGAGCAAAACAUAAAAUGUUGUUAACCUAGUUCAAACUUAACCUACAUCUGCAGGGCCUCGCCUAUAGAAGAAUUCUACAAUAACUUCACAGUACAAGUAAUAGAUUAAGCCUAAGCUAUCCUAAUGUUUGGAUAAUUGCAACCUCACCCAAGCACAUUUAUGACCCCCCCAAUGAGUCUUUCAUGCUUAAAGCCCCUAACUCUCAAACUUGCCAAUACUAAGUGAAUAAUAAACACUCAAAGGUGUCAAACAACUAUACUUUACCAAUUCCCCAAUGAACAUAAAAUAUGACCCAAGUCUAUGUAACUUCCAUGAAAUAGGCACAUAUAUAUGCUAUGAAUAUUGGCUUCUCUUACUCAGUUUUCUCUCUUUAUAGUGUGGAUAAAUACAACAUAUAUCAAUAUCUAUCACCAAGCCACUAUUUGAAUGCUUCAAGUCAAUCUUCAAGUCUCCUUCUUGGACUAAAACUUCUCCAAGAUAGUUGAAUUGCUUCUUUAAGAUGAAUUGCUUCUUUAAGAUGCAUCAUAUGUUCUUAAGUGAUCUAAACUUCUCUCAAUUUUAUAUUGAUCUUUAAAAGUCAUCCUUGGAUUACAACUCUUCAAUGUUGUUGUAUAAACUUAUUUCUUAAUAAUGAUAUGUCUUCAUCUUAAUUUGGGCACUCAAUCGACUAUUUUUUACUACUGUAUAUGAUAAUUAAGACGAAAAGGAUAAGCACAAAGUAAAAAACUACCAACUUCAAAAUCAGAUGCAUCAACUAUCUACAACAUGUGGUUUAUGAUGUGCCAGCAUGCAAAACCACACUAGGAAGAACACCGCAAGCCAUGGACCAAUAUAUACAAAGAAUCAUUCCUUAUAUAUUUCUUUUCAUGCAAGUAAAUAUGAAUAACCAGGCCAUUGCAUUUUUCUUAAAAUACAAUAAUUUGAGAAUUUAUAACGACAAUCAAUCAUUACUUUCAUAUAUCAUAUGUAUCACUUAAUAACUAAUCGAAAAAUCAAACAAAAAUAUAUUUAGAUAACUCUAAUAUAAUUGUCAAACUCACAUAUGAUGUAACUUAAACUUGAAAUAUCAAAAUUCUCAAGACUUUCUCUUGUCAAUAAUCAAGGGCGAAUCCAAAGACAAUGAGAGACAUUGGUCCCUCUUGAUUAAAUGAAAAAAUUUCAUCUUUUUGACCCUUUCAUCAAAAAAUUAUAAUUUAAUUUCAGUCCUUUUAACUCUUGUUAAAUGAAAAAAAAAUCAUAUUUUUGAAAUUCCCAAAAAAAAUUAAUUGAAGUCUUUUUACCUCUUUAGUCAAAUGACAAAAGAAAUUAAAGUUUUGACUUCUCUUAAAAAUUAAUUAUUUAAUUUAUUUAACUUUAUCCUUUAAAAAUUUUAUAAUUUCAUCCCAAUUCCAUUUCUAAAUGAAUAAUAUGGUGUCCAAUAUGACCAUCCACAUAACUGAAAGGCUAAGUGAGCAAAGGCAUCGAUUACUUGUCACCCUAAGGCACUAACCGUAAUCCAAUAAAAGGCAUUUUCUGUCUCUAGGUUCCCACUAAACCCUAGACCCUCCUAGGCUUGUACUCCUAUAUUUAAUUAAAGAUUCCAUUUUUUUAUCAUUUUUUUAUAAUAAGCAUGCUUUUUAGCAGAAAACUUUGGGGGGAGAGGGGCAAAAGAUCCACUAAACAUUAAAAUUCAUUAUUACAAGAUGUACUGCCAUGGAAUUUUAAGCUAGUGUUCAUGUAACCAUGUUCAUUAAAUUGAAUGCUUUGGCAGACAACUUAAUUACAAAGUACUUGUCAUGUUGAAAUUAACCUUGUCAACUUUGAUAUUGCAUGAUACCUAUGAUCCAUAGUUUUGAAGAACCAAUUCGGUAGAAUGAUUGGAAAUUUGCAUUGAAUGUACAUGAUAGUGCAUACACUUUUUAUCUGUGCCAACAAUGCAUGUUUACUAAAGUUAAAAAAUCACUUUAAUUAUUUAUUAUAAAUUUAAUUAGUGUCUAAAUUAAAAUAAUAAUUAAGUAGUUAAAACUAAAAAAAAUCGACUCAAAUAAAAAUUAUUUGAAUCUAAAAUGAUUUCAACUUAAAAUAGCUCAAACCCAAAAUAAUCAACUCUAAUAUGACACGAACUUGAAAUAAUUGUAGGUGCGGCCCUAGGGGUGGCAAGGGCUCUCCCCUCCAAAUGAAUAAUUUUACUUUUAGCCCUUUAAAUUUAUAAUAUUUUUAAUUUAAUAAAUAGUAAAAUAGUACUUUAACCUCUUAAAAUAAUAAAUUUUUUUAUUUCACCCUUAAAUAAUCAAAACAAAUAAUUCAAAAUAACUUAAUCUCAUAAACCAAAUUUGAAUGAAAAAAACUAAAAUAUCUUGACCCGAAAAUCCGAAAAAAAAAACUCAAAUAACCCGACUUUAAAAUAUUCUAAACAUAAAAUUAACCUCAACCCCAAACAAUCUUAACCCAAAUUGAUAUAAUUCAAAACUAAUUCAACGCAAUGAAAAGUGGGUCUAAAGUAACCAAAUCCUCAAACAAUUAUGUGUCAAAUAGCAUUUACUCAAUCUGGAUUUGCUAUAAUUAAUUACUGACAAGUGUACAUGAUCUUACCUACAUUGCAAAAGCAAUGUUGGUUUCUACAUAAAUACAAGGAUAAAAGUUGGAAACAAUAUAAUUAAAACAUCUGUGAUAAUCUUUCUUUAAGUCUUUCACAGCUAUCCAUCAAUACGUUGAAGACAAAACCCAAAGGGAGAAAAGAAGUGAAUUUCAAAAGAUUGGGAAAUAUGAGGGACCCAUGUGAGAGUCAUAGAUGCAACAUAAUACUCCGAAUUUUGGUACUCUUAGGAAACACCAAUGCAAAUUAAGGAGUAAAUUUCUAUUCACUAAUCAUUGCUUCUCCCACUAAAUCAUAUAUGCCAAAAUAAAAUUUUGUUAAUUGGUUAAUUUAUGAUUCUAGUCCUGCUUAUGUUUAAUUUUAGAUUUUUUUAAUUUUUUUAUCAAGGAUAAAAGAAAGAAGUUGUCUAGAUUUGAACUUGCGACCUAAUGUCAAUAAAGACUUAAACAAUGCAAGUCUUUUGACAUGAUUUGAUCUUCUAUUUUUAUUAUAUUAUUAGUUAAUCUAAAAUAAUUAACGGUGUUAACCAUUCCAAUUAGAAUGCAAACCAAAAUAGUUAACAUUUAAUUGUAUAUAUUAAUGAUUUGAAUUAACCAACAAUAUUAUGGGUAAAUUAUACUUUCUUUAGUAAGCUCACUACGUACUGAUACAACAGUGAGAAUGGUUUGUAAGGAGAUUGGUAUUUGAGCGUAUAAGGGAUACUUUUCUAGGCGAUGCCUUACAAGUCACAAAUGUAGGUUGAAGAUGAACUACAUUAUCUUCCUAUAUUUGAAUUUUUCAUUCUUUCAGUGUUUACUUAUCAAUGCAUUAAUACAUUUGAAGAGCGUUAACUUCUUAUAUUUGAAUUAUCUUUAAGUUUAAUAAUCAUAACCAAUUUCGUUAAUUCUCGUUAACUUUGUGAUGGAGAGAUGAUGCGAUAAUUCAAAUAUAGGGAGUUAAUGAUGUUCAAACGUAUUAAUGUGUUGAUAAGUAGACAUUGAAAGAAUGAAAAAUUCAAAUAUAAGAAGAUAAUACAGUUCAUCUUUAACCCACGUUUGUGACUUGUGAGGCAUUUCCUAGAAAAGUAUCCAUCACAAAGUUAACAAGAAUUAAUGAAAUUGGACUAGAAUAGACAAUUGUGGCUAGUUAGGUGUUGAUUUUGUAAUUUUUUAUAAUUGGGUAAUCGAAAAAGAAACCUAAGUAUAGUUGAGUAAUUAACAUGCGGUGUAGUUUACCCUAAUACAAUAAAAAUAUGAAAAUAAAAUUAUACGAUAGUCAUUAAAACUUUUGUCAAGCAUUCGAUUAACACUGAUUUAAAUUGUGUGAUGUAAUUUCUUACCCAACAUUAAAUAAAAAAAUUAAAAUAUAAAAAAAAUCAUUCAAAACAUAAUAGAUUUUCACUUUAAAAAAUCUUAGUAUUUUCAUGUCGAGGUUCACUUUAUUAUUAGUCAAAACGAUUUAACUCAAUCACUUGAGAGUUUUUUGUAUUUUUUUGGUGGGCAAGUGGAAGGAUGGUGUUGGGUGGCGAACCCUCACCAAGCCGACAAGUUAACGCUUAAAAGGGGACUACGUGGGGUGUUUUGUAUGGAAUAUUAUCAACAUUUCUUCCAUUUAACAUGGACUUUCUUCCGCCCUUAUACCUGGUGGCUCCACCAUCCCACCACCAUUUUGCCACCGUCACUUCCAUCGUCAUCUCCUCCUUCAUUAAUUUUUAAUUUGGAUAAUUAGGGUACAAUCUUUUAUGAUAAAUUAUGUGAUCUCUUAUUAACAAUAAAUUUAUGUUAAGGCUAUAAAAAAUUAUACUUUAUUAAAUUUAAUUUCAAGGUUAAGUAAAUCAUAUAAAAAAUAAAAGGGCUAAUUUUUUUAAUAAUUUUAAUGGUUUUUAAUUUAUUUUUUAAAAAAGUAUAUAUAUUUUUUUUAUUUUUUAAAAUUUGUGAAAAUUAAUUAAAUGUUUAAGUGUCAUCCACAUGGUAAUCCAUAUGUAUGUCACGUCAACAAAGUUAAAAAACGUUAAUAUUUCUAUCUAUUUUUAGAUGAUUUGACAAAAAAUAUAAAUUUAAAGACUAAAAAAGAAUAAAAAUUAAAUACAUGACUAAAAUAACUUUUUUAUAAAAUUGGAGGACCAAAUAAAUUAUUAUUCCUAAACAACAUUAUUCACCCAAAAGUGAGUGUGAAUGUGAUGAAUUAUAGUAAUAACCAAUGAUACUGGCACACAUCUAUUGUAUUUAUAUAUGAGAUAUGAUAUAAAAAUGGAAAUCAAUGUAGAUUUCAUUCUAUUUUUAAGCUCUAUAAUUACAAAGUAAAAUUAUAAAUAUAUAUUUGAAUAAUUAUAAAGUAAAAUUAAACCAAUAUUAAUGAUAAACAUACUAAUCGAAAUUAAAAUCUACAUAUUUUAUCAACACACGAUGAGACUGGAGACCUACACAUGAUAAAUUGUUUAUGAUUGGACUCGAAUUUCAACUUUUAUCAAUAAUAUCAAGACCCCAUUUGUCAAUUGCAUAUUUUUUUCCCAAAUAAAAAGUAAAUUGAAAAGAGAAUCCAAGAGUUGGAAGGACGAAAUUAGAAAAAAAAGAAUUGGAAGGAUGGAGAAAUUAAAAGAAGGUUGAAUUGUAAAGACAAUGAAGAGAGAGGGGUCCAAGCAUAUACACAAUAAUAAUGGGCCAUAAUCAAGCCGACCGAUUAAAGUUCAUGUUUAUAUCAUGAGCCGUUUCGCUUUAUAAGGCUUCAUUGUGCGCGUGUUUUCCUUUAAAAGCGUGCCGCAUCGUCUGUGGGUCCAUCUCGGCUUGGCGGCUCCAGCCAAUCCUUUUUCCAUUAAAAAGCUCUUCCAUUUUCUCCGGCCGCGCCGAUAUUGACUUCUUUCACAUUUUCUUUUUCAAAUAAUUAAAGCUUUAAUUAUAAGAAAACCUUUAAUCACUAUUAAAAUAUAUUAUAUUUUUUAACUUAAAAAAUCUGUGUUGUGAAACAUAGUCAAAAUCACAACAAAAUAUUAAUUUACUAACCCAUGCUUUGUUUUUUUAAAUAAUAUCUUAUCGAUUUAAUCUUAACUCAAUUGGUACGUAUAUUGUUGUCAAUGUAGGAGAACGUGAGUUGGAGAGGAGCUAUAGAUAAUUCUAAGUAUUGUGUCAAAAAAAUAGAUAUUAUCCGAACCUGAAAUAAAUAUAAUGAAUUUUUAAUAUUUUUAUAUUUUCCAAAAAGAAAAAAAAGAGAGAAAAUGGGCCUUAACUUUCAAUGGUUGGUUGGGUUAGGCAGCCCAUUAGGGAAAAAAAAUCAUUAUUGUGAUACCCACUCGCCUCUGGCAAGCGUGGAAAGAACAGCAUCAUUUUCCCUCUAGAAAGUGAAGGCACGCGCGAAUGGAAAUGAGUGGGAGAUUAGAAAAAAGAAACUACCAUCAGAAAACAAAUUAGAAAAAAAGAAAGAAUUUAAUUGGAAACAAAAUUUAAUUAUAAUAAGAAUCCCCGGAAUUAUGUGACUGAGAUUUGGAUUUGGAUCUGAGCAUCAUUUCUUGAUAAAUAAAUAAAACAAAAUAAACAACCGAUUGAAUUUUAGCUCGAUUGGUACGGACAUGAUUACUAACAUAGGAGUACAUGAGUUUAAGUGUACAAAAACGUAUUAUCUGGGUUAGGAAGAGAUAUGGAUAGUUCUAGAUAUUAUGUCAAAAAAAGCAGAUAUGAUCAAAACCUAUAAUGAGAUUCGCACUUAAACCUAUUUAUAAGGAAUCGAUUAUAAUGUUUUUGAAGAUAAGGACUAAUUUAAAAUUUAUCCAUAGUCUAAGUACCUCAAAUAAAAUUAACCCAUUAUAUAUACUGAUGUUAGCCGUUUUAAGUGAAAAAGUUUACCUAAGGGGAAGAGGGGUCUAUAUAUAAAAAAAACCCAAAGCUCUUGUGAUGAGAACAACGUCUAAGUCACUUAUAGAUCUCUAAAUUCUCUCAACUCAAAAGAAUCGAAUCGCAAGUGGAAUACGCAGAGAAUUUUUAGGUUUUGUCACUCUCACCCCUUUCUUCAACCCUCUUCCAUUACAGUCCUACUAUAUAUCUACACAUAUAUAUAAUAGGAGCUGAAUAGGAGCAGCCAAAAGGGUCUUUUCUUCAACACCAUUGUUGAGCUGAGAGAAAAACAGAGAAAAAUUAGAGAAUUCUCUCUAUAUAUACAUAUACAUAUAGAGAGAGACAGUUCAAACUUCAAAGGUUUGUUUCAAAGUUUUUUUUUUUCUUUCUUUCAUUUUUCUGGGUUUUGUUUUGUUUUGUCUCAUUGAUUGUCUGUUUUUUUUCUUUUUUUAUGUUGCAGAUCUAGUAGAUUGGUAAUAAAAAAAGAAUGUUGGGACAAAAGCAAAGUGAAGAAGCAAUAGUGUCGAAUUAUAACGAAAGUGAACAUCAUGUUGAGAAUAGAGAUGAAGAGAAAGAAGAAGAAAACCAGUCAUUGUUUAAUGUUAAGAAUCUACUUUGGCAUGGUGGUUCUGCCUGGGAUGCUUGGUUCAGCUGUGCUUCUAAUCAAGUACAUCCCCUUCUUUCCCCCGCUUACCCCUCACCACCAUUUCUUUUUGGGUAUACUAUAAUAGAAGUUAACCAUCUAUAUUUUUUUUACCCAAUUAUGAAAAAUUACGAAAAAGUCACCUAUUUAUUUAAUUUUGUUCCUUUUUUAUCACCGACGGACUACCAUAAAAAUGAAAACAUCAAAAAUUUCCAAGAUAGUUAGGUGACAAUUUUUUUUACCCUUUCUUGUUAUACCAACUUUGACAUGUUGAUUAAAAUAUCUUCGUAGGACAUGUCGUAUGAUUGACCGAAAAUAAACUUUUUAAAUUAAAAAAAAUUCAAAUUUUAACCUUUUUUUAUAUUAGGGUUAAAUCUUGAAUUAUGCUGAAAUACAAGGAGUGUAGCAUUUUUUGACUUUUUUUCCUCUAACAAUUUUUUAUGGAUAAAAUAUGUUUUGUGCCUCUGUAUUUUGAAAAAAUUCGACAUUUAAUCCAUAUACUUAAAAAGUUAAAAAAAGAAUUUUUACCUUUCAGUUAAAAUUUUUAAUCCAAUUAUUAAAACUAAUAGUAUUUUUCAUCAAAAUUUACCACUAGAAUUUUCAAAUAAAAAAAAGAGUAAAAGGAUUUAAUUUUUUUCAACUAUAUGGACUAAAACAGGUAUUGAUAGUAUAUUUAGACCCUUUUUAUUUUUUGUCUCUUAAAUUUACAUUAUUUAUUUUUUGAUCCUUAUAGGUAGCACAAGUGUUGUUGACUCUACCAUAUUCAUUUUCUCAAUUGGGCAUGCUAUCUGGGAUUCUGCUACAAGUUCUCUAUGGACUUAUUGGAAGUUGGACUGCAUACCUCAUAAGUGUACUCUACAUUGAAUAUAGAAGCAGGAAAGAGAAAGAGAAUGUGAACUUCAAGAACCAUGUGAUUCAGGUCUCGAACACUAACCUCUCGAACACUAACCGUCAGAUAUUUUUAAAAAAUACUUUUCGAAUAGUAAUGCUAAGUUAAAUCGUAAUUUUUUAAAAUUUACAGUGGUUCGAAGUGCUUGAUGGGUUAUUGGGUCCAUAUUGGAAGGCAAUAGGACUUGCCUUCAACUGUACUUUCCUCUUAUUUGGAUCUGUCAUACAACUUAUAGGCUGUGCAAGGUUUGCAUCAAUCUCAAAACCGGAUUUUUUAGGUUAAAUUAUGAUUUUGGUCCUUUUAUCGUAGAUGGAUCAAAACUAUAAUUUGACUAUUUAUUUAAUUUUAUCUUAUUUUGAUGUAUUGGUUUAAUAACAGUAAUAUAUACUACGUUAAUGACAAAUUGGACAAGAGGACAUGGACCUACAUAUUUGGAGCUUGUUGUGCAACAACAGUUUUCAUACCAUCUUUUCACAACUACCGUAUUUGGUCCUUUCUUGGCCUUGGGAUGACCACUUAUACAGCUUGGUACCUGGCUAUUGCUGCCCUCGUUCACGGCCAGGUAAAAUCGUGCUGAACGUGUUGAAUCGAGUUAAAAAAUUUGAAUUAAUUUUUUUAAAGAUUUUUUAAAUAAUUUAUUUGAUCUCUGUCCCGACCGGUUCGAUAAUGAUCUCCCAUUUCAUGCACUUGCAAAACCACCUUUUUCCAAUGUUUUUUCUUUGGUUAUUUUUUAGGCUGAGGGCGUGAUGCAUAGCGGUCCGACGAAGCUUGUGCUUUAUUUCACCGGAGCCACCAAUAUUCUCUACACUUUCGGCGGACAUGCCGUCACUGUGUAAGUCUUUUUUUCUACUUCGUGCUAAUUUAACAUUGUUUUUGAAAACUACUUUUAAAAAGUGCUCGAAACUUUGAUGAAUUACGACGAUAUCACUCUUCUUUCUUCCUUUCUUUCUUUCCUAUUCUCUUUUUUAUCAAGGUCAAGAUAAUAUAAAUUAUGGGGUUCAAAAGGCAAAAAUUUUAGACUAAAAGGACCUAAAAUAAAUUAUAUGUCUUCAGUAAGGGCCAAAAGUAAAGUUUCACCGUAUUAUCCAAUGCCUUUCCCAUUUCUCUAGGAAGAUUUAACAGUGAACUGAACAUAGGGUUAAUUAUUCAAGUUGGUCCCUCUACUAUUCUCAACCUUUGGAUUUAAUUUUAUAUUUUAAUUUAACGUAGACUUUAGCUGAAAGUUACUAAAAUAUUAAGGGUAUUUUGGUCAUUUAACCAUGCUUCAUAAUUUAUAGUCAAUAUAAUGAACAUAAUUAUUGUUUUUCAUCACUUUCUUCAAUUUCAGGGUAAAAAAUAACUGUUUGGUUGAAAAUUUUUUUUCAGGGAAAUUAUGCAUGCAAUGUGGAAGCCUCAAAAAUUCAAGUACAUAUAUUUAUUGGCCACACUUUACGUUUUUACCCUUACACUUCCGUCAGCUGCUGCCGUUUACUGGGCCUUCGGUGACGAACUCCUCAACCAUUCCAAUGCCUUCUCUCUCCUCCCUAAAAAUGGCUUCCGUGACGCCGCCGUUAUCUUAAUGCUUAUUCACCAGGUUGGGUCUAUUUCUGUUUUUGGUCCCUCCGUUUCAUUUUGGUAUAUAAUUUAGUUUCUUUACGUUAAUAAUGUCAUUAAUACGUAAAUACUACAAUUAAUUUGAUGGUGCGAAUUUCCAUGAACACGUUGACACUAUUAUCAAUUAUCAAUUAACACUACAUGGGUAAAAAAAUUACAGGUUAAGUUGGUUUUCGAUCAAAUCAAUUCGGGUUAAGUUUUAGGUUCAUUUCUUCUCACGUUUGAGUUUUGUUUAUUUCAAGUUUAGGUUAUUUUUCAAGUUGGGUAAAAUUAUAAGUUCGGAUUAUUUUAGGUUUAGUAUCACUUUAGUUUUGGGUUAUAUAAAGUUUAAGUUAUUUCGAGUUUGAAUAAUUUUGGGUUCACGUUAACUUUUGUUUAGGGUUAGUUUAGGUUCAAGUCAAUUCAAAGUUAAGCUUUUUAAUUUUUUUAUGAUCAAAUCAGGUUUAGAUUUGAGUUGAUCGGGUUGGAUACUUUUAACACUUUAACAACAUUUAUUAAGAGUGUUAUCCAUUUGGACCUACUAAUAACAUUAUAAAAGUAGGAUGAUACAGUAUAAUUAAACCAGUAUUUCAAACCAAUUUAACAAAUUGUGACUUCAUGAAAUGGGGUAUUGCAGUUCAUAACAUUUGGGUUUGCUUGCACACCGUUGUACUUCGUAUGGGAGAAAGUAAUAGGGAUGCAUGACACUAAAAGCAUUUGUUUGAGGGCAUUGGCACGGCUGCCGCUGGUGAUCCCGAUAUGGUUCUUGGCCAUCAUCUUCCCAUUCUUCGGCCCUAUCAACUCGGCGGUCGGCGCUCUUUUGGUUAGCUUCACCGUCUAUAUCAUCCCAGCUUUAGCCCAUAUGCUCACCUAUAGAAAAGCCUCUGCUCGGCAGGUAUAAAGAAGAAUUGGUGAAAUUUUGGUUUUAGUCCCUGUAAAUUACUAGAAUUUUUAUUUACUUACUAUUUUUUUUCUUUGGUGAAACAGAAUGCUGCAGAAAAGCCACCAUUCUUCAUGCCAAGUUGGACUGGAAUGUAUGCAUUAAACGCCUUUAUUGUGGUGUGGGUUCUAGUGGUCGGGUUCGGGUUCGGGGGAUGGGCUAGCAUGACCAAUUUCAUUAGGCAAAUUGACUCUUUUGGCUUGUUUGCCAAGUGUUAUCAAUGCAAGCCUCCAACACCAACAUCACCAGCUGCUGCUAUGCACCAUUAAGCUCACUCUCAACCAUCUCAAACCUCAAAUUUCAACUAUUCCCCGUUUUUCUCCGGUCAAAUUUUGAUUUUGGUCUCUCUAUUAUGCUCAAAUUUAAAAUUUCGUCUCUAUAAUUUGAAAUAAUUUGAUCUCUCUUUUAUAAAUUCAUUAGUUAGCCCGAAAUAGUUAACAGUAUCCAGUUAAAAUGCCAACGUGAAAUUUUCCUAAAAACACCCAUUUCAACACCAGAAGAAAACAUAUCAGCAUGACGAAUGAGAAGGGUUGUUUUUAAGAAAAAGUUCAAUGUUAGCUUUUUAAUUGGAAAGAUACAGAUGUUAACUACUUGGACUAGCUCAUGGCAUUAUAAAAAUAAAAGGACAAAUCAUGUCAAAUUAAAAUACAGAGACCAAAUUCCAAAUUUAAACAUAAUAGAAAGACCAAACCGAAAUUUGACCAUUUCCUCCCUAUCUCAAAGAGAGAAAAAAAAAAACCCCGCCAAUGAUUUCCAUGUUUUCCUCCAUAUGUUGUAUCAUAUAUUGGGGGAGAUAGCAAUAUUCUCCCCUACAUGCUUAGUGUGCUGGAUUUUUGCCCUUUGCUUUUCCUAUUUUUUUCUUUUUUUUUCCUUCAAAUUUCUCCAUUAAAUUAGUUGAUAAGUAAAAAAAUAGUGUGUUGAAUUUGUGAUGAUUCCUUUGCUAUCCAAUUAAAUCAUAUAUAAAUAGUAUUAUGUUCAGCUUUCUCCCUCUUUUCUCAUCCUUAAAAACUUAUAUUAAUGUCUUUUUGUAGUGCUAAUGAUUACAUUUAUCAUACUUUCGAAAAUGUUAAUUUAAAAAAAAAUUAAUCACAAAAGUUAGGGAAAAUAGUCGAGAGUUCGAUUUUCACAAAAACAAUUUGAAAACUCGUGGCUAAUAUUUAUCCUUUAAUAGAUUUAUAAAAUAUAAAAAAUUAAUUACUAGAUUUACUCUGAUAAAUACCUAAAAAAAUUAUGUUUAAAUCUAUUGAUAAUAAUUUGGAAUUCAUCCCCUAAACAGUGUCACCCUUAUUUAAGAAAAAACAUGUGGACAUCCUUUAAUGUCCCAUUUGAUAUUAAGAUUCUAUAUGGAAGCGGAGAGUGGGCCGGGGACCCGCCGCCACAUUUCACAUGGGUUACACGUUAGCUCAUUUGCUUGUCACGUGCCACUCAUCACUCCUAAAUAUUCCCCCUUCAUUGAAUUUCACAUGUGAACAUACGAUGCCUACACGAUAUGCAUGAAUUAUUUUGUAUCAUCUACAAUCAUACUUGGCUAAUCAUUUCUAUCUUUCAGCAUUGCUGUCAAUUUUAAUUAUAUGUUUAUUUAAAUAUCCCGUUGUCAAUUAAAUCUUAACUUAAUCGGUAUAAAUAAAAAGGAUGUGAGUUCGAGUGUUUUGAAACACAUUAUCCUUCUAUUUAUGAAUUGGAGAGGGGAUACGUGUAGUUUUAGGUAUUGUAUCAAAAAGAGCAAGUUUUUAGCUCAAUUGGUAUUUGUAGUAUUUUCAAUGCAAGAAAAAGAGAGUUCGAGCACCCUUAAGUGAAUUUAUCCUUCUAUUUAAAGGUUAAUGAUAGAUUAUGGAUAAUUUUAUGCAUUGUAUAAAAAAAAUUGUUAGUCUCGAUACUUAAAUGAAAUUUGAGUUUAGUACUAGUAUUUUUUUGUCAUAUUAUUGAGACUAUUAGUAUUUGUUGUCAAAAUUUACCAUCAACCAACCUAUAUAAUCAUACCAAUUUUACAGGUAAAUCAUUAUGGAAAAACGAGAAAAUAUACAUAAUAAUGAACAGAUUCCGUCUUGAUAUCAACAAAUGGGUUGAAUUAAAAUUUUAUGAAAGUAUAUGUAUUAAUGGUAUAUUUUGACUUUAGUAGCUUUUAUAAAAAAAAAAUAAAAAAUAAAUCACCUAAAGGGUUUUAUAUAUUUUAUUUCUUCUAGCACAUGCAACCCAAAGAUAGGUUUCUUUGCUUUCUUUUUGUUUUAUAAAGAGAAAGUGUGUGAAUGUCCCCAUUUGAAAGUGCUGAAUCUGAUGGGGCUAAUCACAAAGUUUGAUUACAAGUAAUUAAUAAAGAAAAAGGGGAGAAUGGGGAAUCAAUUGCAAGCAUGAUUAGGGUUUCAAUUACCAUAUUUUAUGUUGUCUUUUGAAGCUAAGUCAAAACCCACUUUAGUAUUGUUGCGCUUCUUUUUUUGAUGAUUAGGUAAAGUAAAGAAAUUUGACACAAUUUGUGAUUCAUGUGGGAGAGUUGGUUCCCAUGAGAUAUUGUUGGUAUUGACCAAAUCCACCCUAUCAUUUAUAUUAAUAUUCUUUAUCAUUAAGGUAAUUUUUUAUGUUCGUUUUACGAUUCAUGAUGAUUAAUUAUUUUAGAAUUUAUGAUUGUCACUCCUAAUAAUAUCAUCACCAAAGUUUGAAUACGAGUUCUCUAAUUGAGAGUGUAAUGCACCUUGCUAUUUCGCUUUCUAAUAUCAUUUUGGUUUACAUGGAAAAAGGUUUAAUUGUGGUUUUAGUCCCUUUACCAUGCUAAAAUUUAUAUUUAAUCUAUUUAUUUUAAUUUGAUAUAAUUUAGUCAUUCUAUUUUUAUAAUGUUAUUAGCACGUCCAAAUUAAUAACAUCGUUAAUUACUUCCGCUAAAGUGAUGUUGUGAAUUUUCCUUUUUAAAACAACCUCAAGUAUUCAAAUGACAUGUAAAACAUAUUAUUAAUUGGACAGAAUUGAUUGAAUUUUCACAUCAACUCGACUAUGAGAUCAAAUAUCAAUAAAAAGAAUAACAUCUCGUUAUCACUUUAAUUGCAACAACUAUAAGUAUUAUGAACUUGUGCAUGCUAAUAACAUUACAAAGAGAAGGUCCAAAUUAUGUCAAAUUAAAGUAGAGGGGCUACAACCAUAAAUAAACCAACAAAAACAUGACAUUAAUGAAUCACAAUUUUGAAGAACUAUAAUUUUUUUAAACAAUUUAUUAUAAAUUCUGAUCAUAUCUAUUUUUUUAUACAAUACUUAGAACUAUCCAAACCCUUUCUCAACUCAUAUAUAAGAAGAUAAUGCGUUUCAGCGUACUCAAAUCCAUGUCCUCCUAUAUUAACAAUAAUACUUAUGCCAAUCGUCGAUAAAAAAAAAACUUAUACCAAUCGAAACGAGAAUUACAAUGGAAGUCAUCAAACAAAUCCCAUUUGUUUGAUGAAGUAUAUAAUUUGUUGAAAAAUGGGUUACUUAAAAUAAAGCUGUCAAUCUUAACUUGUAAGGUUUUUUAGUUGACCAUAUUUCAAAGCAAGUUUAUGAGAAAUAUAAUGAAGCUUAAUUAUUGCUCUAAUUACAGCUUUUUAGAGAUUCAAACCAAUUGUGUGCCUUGUUCAUGGAUUAAAGUAAAAAAAAUGUAAAAUAAUAUAAACAAAAAGGAAGAAUUAAAUGCUUUUAGUAUAAGCAUCACUAAGAAUGGAUUAGAUUGAAGUAAUUUAAAAUUAAAGGAAGAUUACCACAAUAAGCAAGGGUCUUUUUUUUUUUUUGCUUAGUGAAAGCUGCAGUUUUGUCAGAAGUUUAGUUAAACCCAAAUCUUGUCUUUUCAGUUACUUGGUACUUCAAUUUUGUCAGGUUUGUCAUAACCAUAAAAAUUAUUUAUGAGUUAAUUGCAUUAAAUACCCUCAAAUUUUGACCCUCAUUCUAAAUUGAUCUUAAAUUCCUGAAUAUUGCAAGUUGGAGUGGACUUAAGCAUGUAAUGUCCACAAGUGAGUAUAAUUACUUCAUUAGCUAGAAAUUGAAAUCACACCGUUGAUCCUAAACCCACCGUUGAUCAUGCCAUGUAGGAUUUACAUUGAGGAACCUGAGUUUAGCUUUUAACCAAUUCAAUUGAUUUUAAUAUCAAAAGAGUAAGAGGGAUAGGGGCGAGCAAAAUUCGAUUCGAUUUGAAAAUUUUGAUAAAAAAUUUAAAAUUUUGAAUUAAAUAGUUUAGUUAUUUAGAUCAACUCGAAUAAAAAAAUCAAAUUUUUUGGUUUUACUCGAAUAUGAAUUACACAAUUCGAGUUAUCUGAAAAUUCGAAUAAGAAAAGACAAAAACUACGUCGUUUUGAUAAAUGUUUACCUUUUCUAAAGUUAAAAGUCAAAACCAUUAACUUAAAAGAAAAAAAUUAUAUCGUUUUGAUAAAUGUUAAGUAAUCUUAUACUUCGUCUACUACUUAAAUAAUAAGUCCAUGUAAACAUAACAUUGAGUAUAAAUAAUAGGAUUCGUUAACUCGAUUUAAAAUCUUUUUACUCGAUUCGAAAAAAAUUCAAAUUGAGUUCGGUUGCUAAAAUAAGAUUCGUCAACUCGACUAACUCAAAAUUUUUUGACUCGAUUCGACUCGAUCGAAUGCUCGCCCCUGGAGGGAAAUGUAUUCGAUAAUCGUUUUAACAGGUUCUAAGUCACCGACAAAAUUUCUUAGUUUCUAACCUGACUUGAUCAAACUGCUAUAGUUUCCUUAUUUCUAUAUUUUAAUCACACCCGUUGAUUUAAUUAAAGCAUAGGAAGGGAUUAAAACAAAACAUUUUAAAGUUUAGACACCCAUCUAAAAUUUGAUCCAUGAUUGUCUAACCUUAUUUAUACUUAGGCCGGGAUAAUACAAUGGGUCAAUUUACACCCCCAUUAAGAAUUGUUUCAAUGAUCCAUGAUUUAAUCUGGGCUUAGAACAGACAAGGGAUAUAUUGGGAUUGGGCUAAAACCUGAAAGCAUAUAUAAAACCCAGAAAAGAUUAAGUCUUUUUUGGUGAUAUAAAUGUGGUAAGUGAUAACCUUAUCAUCAAAAGAGAAACGAACAAUGGCGUCACUACUACUUGGAGCAGCUCCAAUCUCAGCUCAAUCCCUUAACCUUUCAUAUGUUUCUCGUAUCUCUUCAUCUCAUUCCCAAACCCUUGGAACUUCCUUAUCAGUUUCAAAUUCAUCCUUUUCACUCUCAGCAGCUUCUUCUCCUUCAAUCCCCUAUGGUAGCUAAAAGAAACAUAAUUUUUUUUUUGUUAUUUUUCUGGGUUUCUUUUGAAGAUGACAAAUUUGGGUUUUAUUUGGGUUUUUUUUUUCAGUGUACUGUGGCAGAGGGGAUAAGAAAACAGAGAGAGGGAAGCGGUUCAAUCACUCUUUUGGCAAUGUAAGUGUUAUGGUUAAAUUCUGCUAAUAGUCCCUGUACUUUACUAAAGUUGUGGAUUUAGUCUAUGUACUUUAAUUUGAUCAAUUUGAGCCCCUGUACUUUUCAAAUUGGUAAUUGUAGUCCCUCUGCUUUUCUAAUGUAGAAAAUUUAGUCAUAACUCAAAAUAGUAAUAGUUGAAUUCAUUUGAUUAAAUUUAGUUACUAGUCAUGGACUAUACUUUCCGAAUUUUGACAUUACACAUAUGAUAGUAUGUUUGUCGCAUUAGAUUCUGAAAAUAGCAAAACUUACUGAAUUUAACAAUUCUCGUUCGGUGAACACUGGAAUUUUAUAAUUUGAAAAGUACAGAGUCUUAAAGUGAUCAAAUUAAAGUACAAAGACUAAAUCCACAACUUUUGCAUAGUAGAGGGACUAAUGAUAAAAUUUAACCUAAGUGCUAUUGUUAUUAUUAGUUCCCAUUUUUGGUUAAACUUGAUAGAUUUUGAUUUUGUUUUAUAUAUAUGCAUAAUGAAAUUGAAUAGGCAAGGCCUAGGGACAAGAAGAAGGGGAGAGGGCCACCAAGGGUGCCAGUUCCACCAUCACCACCGAGAAAAGAUAAGUUUGAUGAUGAUGAGAAGAUAAAAAUUGAAAUUGAUGAAUCCCUUUUUACUACUUAAUGCUUAAUUUCUUUAAUUUUUCUAUUGUAAUGGCUUAAAUUGAGACAACUUGUUGUGUAUGCUGUAAUUUGCUGUUGUUAACAUUACUCUUUUAAUUUGAGUUAUUCUUCUCUGCUGUUGAGUUUUUUUGGGGUUCAUUUUAUGGCAACUAAGUAAAUGUAGAUAUGUGUAUUGAGAAGCAGAAUUGUAGCAAUGGCAGCUCUGUUUUGGGUUGUGUUGGGAAAUGAACAUAAAAAGCUGAGGUUUUAGUGCCUUGUGUUUGGUUGAACCAACAUGUUUUCCACUGGUUUUAUUUGGAUAAUUUAUGUACCAGUGGAUGGUUGAAAAUUAUAGCAACACCACGUGUGAUUUCAUUGUGUUUAUGGUUUGUGAGAGAAUUAGAUUGGCUAGUUGAUUUGAUAGUUGUUGAAUAUUGGCAAUAUCCCACAUUAGGAAAAGAUAGAAAGGGAGGGGGUUUGGUUUGUUAUAUAUAGAACCCCUUCCCCUUUGGUUGUAUCAUCCCAAAAUCUUCUCCUUUGUAAUAUUUCUAGAAGAAAUAUUAAUUUGGUAGUGUCCGAGGACGUAAGCUAAAUUGGCCGAACCUCGUUAAAUCUCUGGUAUUUUAUUUCUUAUUUGUUUGCUUAUAUUUAAUAGCUUUAUGUUGGUUAUAUUUAUUUAGUUAUUAUUGCUAUAAAUAUCUAAGUGAGUUCUGUCUAGUUGUUGGGUUUUAAGCGGGACCAUUUGUGACCCCUCCAAUUUAACUGGGAAUUUUCUUAGUAUAAUUGUUGGCAUAAUAAUUAUCUAAAUAUUUCUGAUAAUAUUGUUAUUAAUAUUAUCGUCGCUUCCGCAACAAUUGGUAUCCGAGCCAAGGUUUUGUAGUAUGCUCUGUGUUUGCAGCUUAGUCUGAUCUUACACAUCAGAAACAUUUCCUAAAGCUUGUGGGUAUUCUGCAUUUGGUGGCUAUUAAGUAGAAGCUAUGGCAAAAAUGACAGAAGAAAAACCAUCCAUAUCAACAACUUCUACUUCGUACAUUUUGCCGAGGAUUGGAACUGCAAAUACGAGAUUUGUAGUGGAAAUUUUUGAUGGAACAGGUCAUUUUGGCAUGUGGCAAAGUGAGCUUCUAGAUGCCCUCUUUCAACAGGGUCUAGAUAUUGCCAUUGAGGAAGAAAAACCAGAAGGGGUUGAUGAUAAAGAAUGGAAGACCAUCAACCGAUUGUCAUGUGGUAUAAUUCGAUCAUGUCUUUCCAGAGAGCAGAAGUAUACAUUCAGUAAAGAGACUUCUGCAAGUAAAUUGUGGAAAGCAUUGGAGGAGAAAUUCUUGAAGAAGAACAGUCAAAAUAAGUUGCAUAUGAAGAAAAGACUGUUUCGUUUCAAUUAUGUUCCUGGUACCACGAUGAACGAGCACAUUACCAAUUUUAAUCAGCUGGUGGCUGAUUUGUUGAAUUUGGAUGUGACUUUUGAAGACGAAGACUUGGCGUUAAUGUUGUUGGGAUCGCUUCCUGAGGAGUUUGAGUACCUUGAAACUACUCUACUUCAUGGAAAAUCGGAAGUAACUUUCAAUGAAGUAACUGCUGCAUUGUAUAGCUAUGAACUACGCCGAAAGGAUAAGUUGAAAGGUUCAGGUGAAGCAGCAGUGGAAGCAUUGGUAACAAGAGGUCGUCAGCAAAGUCAGUCUAAGGGGAAGAGAAGAAAGUCCAAAGGUCGAGCUGUUGCCAAAGAUGAAUGUUCUUUUUGCAAAGAAAAAGGACAUUGGAAGAAAGAUUGUCCAAAAUUGAAGAAAAAAUGGAAGACUCCGCAAGAUGCAAAUGUUGCAGAAUGCAAUAGUGAAGCAGAGUCAGACUUUUCUCUUAGUAUGACAUCUUCAACAUUAUAUGCAGAUGAGUGGAUCAUGGAUUCUGGUUGUUCCUAUCAUAUGUGUCCCAUUCGGGAAUGGUUCUUUGAAUUUCAAAAACUAGAUGAAGGGGUUGUUUACAUGGGUAAUGAUAACACGUGUAAAAUAGCCGGGAUAGGUUCAAUUAAACUGAGGAGUCAUGAUGGAUCUACUAGAAUUUUGCGGGAUGUACGAUAUGUCCCAAAGUUGAAGAAGAAUCUCAUCUCUUUGGGGUCGUUAGAAUCUAAAGGCCUAGUUGUGACAAUACGAGAUGGAGUUCUUAAAGCAACUUCAGGAGCAUUGGUGAUGUUGAAAGGCAUAAGAAAGAACAAUCUGUAUUACUACCAAGGUAGUACAGUGGUCGGGACAACAGCAGCAGCAAUUACGAGUACCAAGAAGGACGCUGAGGCAACACAGCUGUGGCAUAUGCGUUUGGGCCAUGCUGGUGAAAAAUCCUUGCAAACUCUAGCCAAGCAAGGAUUAUUGAAAGGUACAAAGACUUGCAAACUUGAAUUUUGCGAGCAUUGUGUUCUGGGAAAACAACGAAGGGUGAAAUUUGGCACUGGGAUUCACAAUACUAAAGGUAUUCUGGAUUAUGUGCAUUCUGAUGUAUGGGGACCGUCCAAGACUCCAUCACUUGGAGGAAGACGUUAUUUUGUCACCUUUAUUGAUGAUUUUUCCAGACGAGUUUGGGUGUUUCCUAUGAAGAAAAAAGAUGAGGUGCUUGAAGUUUUCCUUAAGUGGAAAACUAAAGUUGAAAAUCAGACAGGAAGGAAGAUUAAGGUUCUCCGAUCAGACAACGGUGGAGAAUAUAAAAGCGAUCCUUUCCUGAAGAUAUGCCAAGAUUGUGGCAUAGUAAGGCACUUCACCGUAGGUGGAACACCGCAACAGAAUGGGGUGGCAGAGCGUAUGAAUCGAACGCUUGUGGAGAAAGUUCGAUGUAUGUUAUCUAAUGCUGGAUUAGAUAGAAAGUUUUGGACUGAGGCUGUGACGUACGCUCAACAUCUCAUCAAUCAUUUGCCAUCAUCUGCUAUAAAUGGCAAGACUCCUUUGGAGAAAUGGUAUGGAAAACCUGCUACUGAUUAUGACACCUUGCGCAUUUUUGGUUCUAUUGCAUAUUAUCAUGUGAAAGAAUCAAAGUUAGAUCCAAGAGCAAAGAAGGCUCUAUUCAUGGGCUUCAAUGCUGGUGUUAAGGGAUAUCGUUUGUGGUGUCUAGAGGCAAAGAAGACGAUAAUCAGUAGGGAUGUUACCUUUCAUGAAUCUGCCAUGUUGAAUAAGGUAAAUCCAGAAGGAGUGAGUAGUACUUCGCAGCAGGUGGAGUGUACUCCGCAGCAGGUGGAGUUUGAGCAGAGUGUGGUAAUUCCAGCAGAAGGUACCACUAGUGAUUCUUCAUUGGCAGAUGCAGAGUCAGAUGAGGAAGAGGUUUCUACCCAAGAACCUCAACAGCAAUCAGAGCCAAUUGCAGUCAGAAGGCAGAGACGAGAAAUUCAGAAACCUGCUCGUUUCACUGACAUGGUAGCUUAUGCACUUCCAGUUGUUGAUAAUAUUCCAUCCACUUACACCGAAGCCAUUCAGAGUUUAGAGAAUAAUAGAUGGUUAGGUGCAAUGGAAGAGGAAAUGCAAUCUCUAGAGAAAAACAAGACGUGGAAGCUGGCACAACUACCAAAAGGGAAGAAGGCGAUUGGUUGCAAAUUUGAAGACACUAUUGAAGUUAGUGUUAUGAGAAGAUGUUCGAAGAUGUGGAAUAUCGCCAAGGUGGAGAUUUGUUGAAUAUUGGCAAUAUCCCACAUUAGGAAAAGAUAGAAAGGGAGGGGGUUUGGUUUGUUAUAUAUAGAACCCCUCCCCCUUUGGUUGUAUCAUCCCAAAAUCUUCUCCUUUGUAAUAUUUCUAGAAGAAAUAUUAAUUUGGUAGUGUCCGAGGACGUAAGCUAAAUUGGCCGAACCUCGUUAAAUCUCUGGUAUUUUAUUUCUUAUUUGUUUGCUUAUAUUUAAUAGCUUUAUGUUGGUUAUAUUUAUUUAGUUAUUAUUGCUAUAAAUAUCUAAGUGAGUUCUGUCUAGUUGUUGGGUUUUAAGCGGGACCAUUUGUGACCCCUCCAAUUUAACUGGGAAUUUUCUUAGUAUAAUUGUUGGCAUAAUAAUUAUAUAAAUAUUUCUGAUAAUAUUGUUAUUAAUAUUAUCGUCGCUUCCGCAACAAUAGUUUGAUUAGUUCGACCGGUGAUAUAUAAUUAAAUAUAGAGAAUUAGAUCAUCGGUCCAGUUCUGGCUUUAUGCACCAAAUUGCAUCCCUUAAUCCUUUGAAAUAUUUGAGAAUAAAGAAACCAAAUUGCACCACUACCCCAACUAUAAACAUGCACAUUGGACAGGCUCUGUUGGUUUUUUAAGUUUUCGAGUUAUUUUGUUUUUGGAUAUUUUGAGUUUGGAUUGUUUUAAGUGUGAAUCAUUUAGAAUCUAUUUGGUACUGUCCCAACUUCAGUUCAUAACAUUUCCUCAAUACAGUUCUUCUCUGUGGCUCCUCUUAAUCACUGAGUACUUGCCGGGGGUGUUAACUGUUCUACUUCCGAUAUCAUGGCUGAGUGCUUUUGGACUUAAAAGAUUAUUGACUUGGACAUUGACCAGAAAUCAAUUGUAUUGGUAGAAAAUAAUUCAACUUAUUUAAUCGAAAAGAAACAGGAUGCACAUAUUAAAGCAAAAUAAAAAGAGGAAAACAUAACCAGCAAAAACAGCAUACAGUGGAAACAGAAACCUGAAACUGGAUGAUACAAGGAAAGAGAUAGCUAAGUACCUCUUUUAACUUAUUCCCUACUCGUUAAUCCCAAUCGUUGCUGGGUCCUCCCCUUUGGUUCUGCUUUGCUCUCCUCCCAUGCUUUUUUGUUUCACGACCAAGGUGAGGGAAAAGCCUGGACAGAGCAAGAUCGAUACGCUCGAAAUACCAGAUCCUCCAUCUCUUCCAAUAGAUAAGAGGUACAAUGAUAAUUCCCAAUCCAAAGGUAAACCCUAUCUCGAUACUUAAAUGAUUCCAGUGUAUAAUGCUCCCUGUCUCAGAAUCUGAAGGGCUGUCUUCUUUACCUGGUGGCAAUCCGCACUUUGUUUUCAAAGGAGGUCCACAUAAUCCGGCAUUGUUCUCAAAUGAAGCUUCUGGAAAUGAUUGAAGUUGGGUGCUCGUUGGGAUUGGACCCACUAGCUUAUUAUUUGAGACAUUAAGACAUGAAAGGAAAUUGAGGUUUGCUAGCUGCAAAGGGAUCUCACCGCGUAGGCUAUUGCUUGAGAGGUCCAAGGACUCAAGCUCUCGCAGGUUUCCGAAAGAUGAUGGGAUUGGACCUGUGAAAGCAUUAUGCGAAAAGUUAAGGCCAUGAAGUUCUUUGAAUUUGCCGAUUACUUCUGGUAUUGGCCCUUCAAAGUUGUUCCAUGAAAUGUCAAUGGAGGUGAAUACGGGCAGGAUCUUCACCAGCUCCAACUCUAAACCUUUGGUGGUAAUUGUUAUUGCAUCUUGAUAUCUAGUACCGCCUCCAGAACCAGAAUCUACAAAAUGGAGAUGUUUGAGCUCUAACAGGUUACUAUAUGGGUUAUGCUGCAUAGCAUCCCACGUCCCCAAACAUGUCAGAUGCAGUUUACCACUAAAAUUGUUGGAUGCUAAGUCAAAAAUCUGAAGCAUUGACCAUCCACCAUUAUUUCCAGAACAAUCAAUGUGACCGUUGAAUUUGUUGGAACGUAAAACAAGGACGUGCAACUUGGCUAUAUUCUUCAAAUGCCAUGGGAAUGAAUCAUUGAUCUGAUUGUUGCCAAUGUCUAAAACCUCCAGCAUUUUGCAAUUCCCUAGUGAUUUUGGAACCUUUCCUUCCAAUCGGUUUUGAUCGAGUUUGAGAGUUUGUAACUUACAACUUUUUGAAAAAGUGUCAGAAAUUAUGCCACUGAGAUUGUUUUGUCUUAAAUCCAAUACUCCAAGAGAUCCGCUCAUCUGAAAGAGGCAUUGAGGAAUUGGCCCACUCAAUGAAUUAUUAGACAAAUCGAGUACUCUAAGAGAUGUACUGCUGCAUAUCGAUGGAGGGAUACUCCCAUGAAUGUUGUUAUUUGAGAUGGAAAAGAAAGAAACACGCUGGAGGGAGUCACCAAUGUGAGCUGGUAAAACGGAGCUGAAAUUGUUGUCUGAGUAAUCCAGAUAGGUGGCAUCUAAUGUAGGAAUUGGGAUUUCCCCUUGUAAUUGGUUGACAUGCAGGUCAAUAAUCUGAACACUAGAAGUUAUGUUCUUCAAAGGUCUUUCGAACCCAACAAGAAAGUUAUCAGAAAGAUUUAGGCGCAAAAGAUCUAUUGGUUUCCAAAUCCAAUCGGGUAUUUUCCCAUGAAUAUGGUUGUUGGAAAGGUCAAGGUACAUUAAGCUGGACUGAUUUUUCAAGAAACCAGGGAACUCUGUUAAGUUGCAAGAUGCCAGCCCCAGUCCGGUAAAUGUGGGGAAAGAAAGCAAGGAAAUAUUAGUAGCAGUGGCAUCAAUAGACAACCUGUUAUGUGAGAGAUCAAGAGACAAAAGAUUCCCCAAGUUCUGAAAGGCAUUCAUUGGUAUCAAACCGCUGAAGUUGUUUGAAGAAAGAUGUAGGAUUUCUAGACCACGGAGUUCAAACAAAGGCGUUGGAAAUUGCCCUUUUAACUUGUUGUUGCUAAGAUCAAGGGUAUUAAGCAGUGAAGAGGCCUUAUCAUGAAAGUCACCAAUGCUGCCAUUGAAUUGAUUGUGAGAAAGGUCAAGUCUCUGCAGUGAUGGAAUGCCAAACAAAGUUGGUGGAAUGGUUCCACUUAGCUUGUUGUCUCCUAAGUCAGCAUCUUCUAGCUUUGAAAGGCUUGACCAGUCAGUGGAAUGAAUUGUGCCGACUAACUUAUUAUGAGCAAGGCUUAGGUUGGUAAGAUUCCUCGAUGAAGAGAAGGACGGUAUUGGGCCAGAAAAAUUGUUAUUGGAAAAAUCCAAAGAGACAAGUUGGGUAAGUUUCUCAACUGCUUUGGGUAUGGGUCCGCUGAAAUUGCAACCAGCAAGCUCUAUUCUUGUCAGUUGUCCUAGGUUAUCGAGAGAUUCUGGAAUUUGUCCCCCGAACUUUGUGCUGCUAAGUGCGAGAGCUUGAAGAGAAGCAUUGAGAGGAAAAUUUGGAAAUGAACCUUUGAGUAACAUGUUGUAUGACAAAUCAAGUGUCUGUAAGGUAGGUAUCUGGAAAAUUUCAUCUGGCAGUCUUCCAUUCAACCCAGUGCUUCUAAGACUAAGGGAAGUCAGGUUUGGGAAUUCUGCAAAGAAUUGUGGAACUGAAGCAGACAAGUUGUUGUAGUCCAAGCAAAUUACUGAGAGAGAUUGGAGCUUGGAAAGUGAAGAAUGUAUAGGUCCUGAAAGAUAACAGUUGGACAUGCUCAAAACUUGCAACUCAGUCAACGGCGAUAAUGCCCGACACCAUUCAUUCCCCAUAGCUGAUAUAUUUACGCCAUCAAGAUAGAGAAAUCUUAGCCUCGUCAGAUUUUGAACAAGCAUCUCUAGGUUCGGCUUCUCAAGUUUCAAUGGUUCUCCACUCAAGAAUGGAUCUGUAGAUAAAUCGAGAGUAAUCAACCUUGUCAAGCGUGGAAUCUUAGCUGGGAUUUGUCCUGUAAAGCCAGCAUUGGAUAAAUUAAGAUAACUCAAAUUCUCCAAUUUAUCAAAUCCAGCGGGAAAAGCAGUCAUGAACUGAUUAGAAGCCAAAUUGAGUCGCUGAAGAUGUUGAAGACGAAAAAGACUACUUGAACCGUCAAUUGAGCUUGAAAUUGCUCGGUUGCUCAAGUCAAGACCGAUAACAUGACCACCGCCAUCGCAACUUACACCAUCCCAGGAACAGCACUCCAUGGCUUGGUUCCAUUUCAUCAGCUUUCCUAAUGGAAUAGGAUAUAUAAAAAGAUCGGAGCUGCUUGUCAAAUUCAAGUCGAGCAACAACUGUUUUUGAUCGUUUCGACAUUGACCAGAAACUAAAACUAAGUUGCUAAUACCAAGGAAAAUUGCAAAAUAUGAACUAAAUAAGAGCCAUGAAAGCAGUAAAAUCCUCAUAUUUCUUUUUUUUUUGAGGCUAUUGAAAGAUGAAUGAAACUUGCAAGAGACGUUGAGUAUAUAAAGAAAUGGGGAGGGAAAAUAUGUUUAACUUUUAUUUUUAUCUCACGCUACAAUGUAUGCUACAAUAUUUAAUCUCACGUCAUUAUAAUUUUUACAUUAAUUCAAAUAAACGCACUACCCGUUCAAAGGGACUCUGGAUGCUGCCAUGUAGGAAGAUUCAAAAAGUGAUUAAUAGGGAGAGUGGAGAAGAAAAUUGCAAACGUCUCACUUGGUCUAAUAAUGAAAGAGAGAAGAAAAAGGAUUAUAGAGUUGUGUGUGGGUUAAUUUCUCCAUCAACCCUGGAUAAGGUUCUGCUAACAUUAAAUAAUUUGGUUAUAUUUCAAUACAUGUAACAUCUUAUGUCCCAUAUCGAAAAGACUUACUGAAGAAGAAAAUUAAAAGGUUGGUUGGAUGUCCAUAUAUCAUUUCAUUAAGAUGAAUUCUUAGGUUUGACUACAAAUUAAGAUACAUUAAGAGUAACUAUAUCAAGCCUGAAAUCUCAAUUGGAAUUUCCCCUAUAAAACCACCAGCUUUGGACAAAGGAAAAGAAAAAUAGGGUUAAUAAUGAAUACUUACAUAACAAGUACUUAAAUAGAAAAAUAGAAGGGUCAAAUGGGGUAAAUAAGAAAAAUAGGGACUCAAAACAAAUAUUUUUUCAGCUUUUAAUAUGAAAAAAAAUAGACUAAAAUAAAUUAAUUAAACGCUAGGGCUUCCAAUUUUUCACCAUAAAUGCUUCAUCUCUUAGGGUCCCAAAAUUUUUUUAGCUUUUAUUGUAUGACAUUUUAUAAUUCUUUUAAAAUGGGUCCAAUUUAUUGUUUCGCCUAUAGCCUCAAAAAGUCAAGAACGGGCCUGCUUACAUUUCAUAUUAAUUUACACUAAAUUUUUAUUAUUCAUAUCUGUUUUACGGUUUAUAUUUGAGAUUUGUGACGGUCCCUCUUAACAAUGUCAUUUUUAAGUUUUGGACUUGUAUCUCCUCUUAAAAAUACAAUAUGUCUUACCAUUGUACCCAACACUUAUCGGUAUUAAUUUACACUAAUUACAAUAACUAAAACUACAUUAUUUGAAAAAGUAAAUAGUUACAUGCAAGGGGCAAAAUUGCUAGUGAAGAAAAAUGCAGACUAUUAUUAAUUUGGUAAAAAGAUCUCUCCAAUUUCUCUCAAUUUUGAAAUUGAGCAAAUUAGUCUCUUUAAAAAAAUUUGAAGUAAUUUAAUGCCUGUCAAUUUUCGAAAAUAAGCAAUUAAGGAUAAUUAAGCACAACAUUAAUCUCUCUUAUUAACUGUACAUAGUUUUUAUCUAUAUAAUAAUUUUAUUCUUUAAUGUUUAUAUGUUUUGUCAUUUUAGCCUUAAUUCUAAAAAGUUCAACAAAUUUAGUAUCAACAUUUACAUAUUUGCACAAAUUUUGUGAAAUAAAUUUGUUAAAUUAGAACCAAAUUGACAAAAUGUAUGAAUUUUAAUGGUUAAAUUUGUUAUUAUACCAAUAAAAAUCAUGUUCAAUUGAUAAAAAAAUAUUAAUUUCGUGGUUAAUUAUUCUUAUUGCUCACUUUUGAAAUUGAUAGAAAUUAAAUUACUUUAAAGUUUUUUUUGAGAAGGACCAAUUUGCUCAAUUUCAAAAUUGAGAGUGAUGAGAGAGUUGUUUUUACCUAUUAAUUCUCUUCUAAAUAGGUUGAGAAGUGUACCAAAAAUUCCAUGUGGCUUUAAUGCAGGCUCCUUAAAUUUGAAUGGUGUGUUCUAAAAAUAUGACUAAUUAUGUCUGUAUCAUCUAUUUUCCCUCUUUUGCCUUUUUAGUUUUUCCUGGACCAUAAUCAGUUGAUUAUAGUCUGCAAUAGAGUUGAAUGAUAUAUGAGAUGAGAGGAGACUGAACAAGGAUAUUAAAAGGUUGGUUGGAUGUCCAUAUCAAGUUUCCACUGAAUUAAUUCCAUACACCAUUUUUCUCACUAAUAAUAUCCCAAAGCCAUUGACUUCAAAGUCAUUUUUUUUGCUAUGUUCAAGGCUAUCAUUUCACUAAGAUGAAUUCUUGGUUACUUACAGUUACUGCAUGGUAAUCUAAGUACAAGUAAUAAAUUGUGAAGUAACCAUUCAUGCAAUGAUGAAUUAAGGUUACGGAGUUGCGAGCUCAAAAGAUGUGAACUCUUCAAAAGCUGCGAGCUCUCCUAAAGAGACGACUUCACAAAAAAUGCAAGCUCAUCAAAAUACGAACUGUUAAGGGUUUUGGCGAUCCCUCAUAUAAAGUGCGAGCAAGGUUCCCUUGUGCUAAAAUUGAUGUUUUUGUUUAAUCAUUUUAUCUUUACUUUCCCAAGAUGUUUAGUGGGAUUAAUUGAUUUUUUGUAGCCAUUUCACAUUUAUAUUGUAAAUAAAUGACAAAGAAUAUACAAGCAGAUUAUUUGCAUCUGCUAAGUGUUCUUUUUACUUUCUCUCUUAAAUAUCUUUGCUCUGGUCUCUCGAUUCAAAAACACUAACACCAAGGCUUAUUUCAUAUAUAUAUAGAUAGAUAGAAAUUUCAUUUUGGGAUAAUUCUACUUAUUUAAUCCAAUAGAAACAGGAUAAACUUGUUACAAGGAAAAUAGAAGGUGGAAACAAAAGCAGCAGAAACAACAUACGGUUGAAACAGAAACCAGAAACAGGAUAAUUCAAGGAAAGAGAUAGCUAAAGUACCUCUCUUAACUUAAAUGAUUCUAGUGUAUAAUGCUCCCUGUCUCAGAAUCUGAAGGGCUGUUUUCUUUAGCUGGUGGCAAUCCGCACAUUGUCUUCAAAGGAGGUCCACAUAAUCCGGUAUUGUUCUCAAAUGAAGCUUCUGAAAAUGAUUGAAGUUGGGUGCUUGUUGGGAUUGGACCCACUAGCUUAUUAUUUAAGACAUCGAGAAAUGAAAGGAAGUUGAGGUUUGCUAGCUGCAAAGGGAUCUCACCGCAUAGGACCCAAGCUCUCGCAAGUUUCCGAAAGUUGUUGGGAUUGACCCUGUGAAAGCAUUAUGUGAAAAGUUGAGGGCAUCAAGUGCUUCGAAUUUACCAAUUACUUCUGGUAUUGGCCCUUCAAAGUUGUUAACUGGUAUUUUCACAAGCUCCAACUUAUUGCCUUUGAUGGUAACUGGUUUUGCAUCGUGUCCAAAGUCUAAAUUUAUGAGAUGUUUGAGCUCUGAUUGGCCUUUAUCUGAGUUAGGCUGCAUAGCAUCCCAUGUCCCCAAACAUGUCAUAUGCAGUUUACCACUAAAAUUGUUGGAUGCUAAGUCAAAAACCUGAAGCAUUGGCCAUACAUUAUUGUUUCGGGGACAAUCAAUGUGACAGUUGAAUUUGUUGGAACGUAAAACAAGGACAUGCGACUUGGCUAUAUUCUUCAAAUGGCAUGGGAACGAGUCAUUGAUCUUAUUGUUGCCAAUGUCUAAAACCUCCAGACAUUUGCAAUUCCCUAAUGAUUUUGGAACCUUUGUAACUAACAGCCUUUUGAAAAAGUGUCAGAAAUGGUGCUACUGAGUUUGUUUCGCCUUAAUCAGUACUCCAAAAAGCACGUUCAUCUGAAAGAGGCAUUGAGGAAUUGGCCCACUCAGAAUUAUUAGACAAAUCAAUUACAUCACGAUGACGAAGGGAUAAUCCCAUGAAUGUUGUUAUUUGAGAUGGAGAAGAAAGAAGCAGAUUGAAGGCAGUCACCAAAGAAAGCUGGCAAAACAGAGUUGAAAUUGUUGCUUUGGGUAAUCCAGAUAGGUGACAUCUAAUGGAAGAAUUGGGAUUUUCCCUUCCAAUAGAUUUCCAUACGGAUCCAAAAUAAUAAAGCUAGAAGUUCUAUUAUCCAAAGGUCUUUCGAACUGUACAAGGAAGUUCUGAGAAAGGUUUUUGGUAACUUAGAUAUCUUGUUUUCCAAAUUCAAUUGGGCAUUUCCCCAUGAAUCUGGUUGUCUGAAAGAUCUAAAUAGGUUAAACUGGACUGAUUUUUCAAGAAUCCAGGGAACUUCGUGAAGUUGCAAGAUGCAAACUUCAAUGUAGAAAAUGUGGGGAAAGAACGUGAGGAUAUAUUAGUAGCAGUGCCAUCGAUAGACAACAUGUUAUAUGAGAGAUCAAGACAUGCAAGAUUCCUCAAGUUUUGAAAGGCACUCAUUGGAAUCAAACCGCUGAAGUUGUUUGAAGAAAGUGUAAAUAUUUCUAGACCAUGAAGUUCAAACACAGACAUUGGAAAUCGUCCUUGUAAUCUGUUAAUGCUAAAAGUAAGGGUAUGAAGCGGUGAAGAGGCCUUACCAUGAAGGUAACCAAUGCUGCCAUUGAAUUGAUUUUGAGAAAGGAUAAGUCUCCGCAGUGAUGGAAUCCUAAACAAAGAUGGUGGAAUGCUUCCACUUAGCUUGUGGUUACUUAACAAAUUCUAGCUUAGAAAGGCUUGACCAGUCAGUGGAAUGAAUUGUACCGCUUAACAUAUGAUCAGAAAGAUCUAGCAACGUAAGAUUCGUAAAUGAUGAGAACGAUGGUACUGGACCAGAAAAAUUAUUCAAGGAAAAAUCUAGAUAGACAAGUUGCAUGGGUCCAUUGACAUUAUAGAGUCCAAGACUAAGGGAAGGUAGGUUUGGGAAUUCUUCAAAGAAUGGUGGCACCAAACCAGACAAAUUGCUGUUGUCCAAGCUAAUUAUUGAGAGAGAUCGUAGAUUGGAAAGUGAAGAAUGUUUAGGUCCUGAGAGAUAAUAGUAGGACAUGCUCAACACUUGCAACUUAGUCAUUGGGGAUAAGCCCCGACACCAUUCGUUGCCCGUGGUCAAUAUAUUUAUGCCAUCAAGAUAGAGAAAUCUUAGCCUCGUGAGAUUUUGAACAAACAUCUUUAAGUUUGGCUUCUCAAGUUUCAAUGAUGUUUCAGAAAAACGAGAUGUAGAUCAAUCGAGAGUGACCAACCUUGUCAAGCAUGAAAUCUCAAUUGGAAUUUGCCCUGUAAAGCCAGCUUCAGACAAAUUAAGAUAACUCAAAUUCUCCAACUUUUCAAAUCCAGCAGGAAAACUUGCUCAAACCGAUCAAGAUCCAAAUUGAGUCGCUGAAGAUGUUGAAGAUGGAAAAGACUAUUUGAAUUGUCAAUUGGACUUGAAAUUGAUCGACCACUCAAAUCAAGACCGAUAACAUGACCACCAGCAUCGCAGCUUACUCCAUCCCAGGAACAACAAUCCGUGAUUUGAUUCCAUUUCAUCAGCCUUCCUAAUGGGGUAGAAAACGUAGUAGAGUUGAAGUUGCCGCUCAAAUUCAAUUCCAGCAACAACUGUUUGUGAUCGCUUUGACAUUAACCAGAAACUAAAACCAAGUUGCUAAUGCUAAAACAGCUGCAAAAUAUGAAUUGAAUAAGAGCCAUGAAAGCAGUAAAAUCCUCAUUUUCUGUGAGAUUAUUGAAAGAUGAAUGAAAAUGGUAAGGGAUGUUGAGAAUUCAAAGAAAUGGGGGAGGGAGAAAGCUGAGAUGCUAUAGGAGUAUGAAUGCUCAAUGCUGCAAUGUUCUAUUGGAGAAGAAAAUUGCAAACGUUUCUCUCGAUCUGAUCAUUAUAUCUGUCAUUUUUAACUUUUUUGAUAAUAAAAUUAAAGUCCAUAAUAUGAGGAGGAGUCUUGGCUUUGUUAAAUCACGAGAGACCUCAGCAAAAGUAUCUGAUAUGCAGCUUCUUUGUUAAGCAAAUAGCAGUGCUACAUAGCUUAGGUCCCUUCUUCAUGCCAAGAAAAGAAAAACACCACAUGCAGAGUCUUUUUUUGUUUUUUUCCCCGAAGAUGUAAAAUUCAAUAAAUGACUAUAAAUGAAAUAUUGAAUGAAAUAACUCGAUCAGAGACGAGAACAUGUGUUAAUGAUGGCAAUUAUAUACAUGUAAAAUUACAUGUAUUUUAUCAGAAGUACAUUUAUGGGAAAAUAGUUGAUUCUUUAAUGCAUUGUUUUAAAUAUGAUAUAAUCUAAUAUUUUUUUUUAUAAAACUUCUAGAUAUAUAUAGCAAUGUUUUGGUGAAUUUUAAGUAAUUUUGAGUUUAUAGUGAAUUUUAAUAAUAAUUACCAUAAUUCUAGAUAUAUAUAACAAUAGGGAGAGGUGAGUAGUUCUAAGCACUGUGCCAAAGAAAAAAAUUCCAUUUACCAAGUAAGAAAAGUGGGCAUGAAUCUGUUAUAAGCCAGAUUGAGUUGCUGAAGAUGUUGAAGACAAGAUCAAUUGCGCUCGAAAUUGAUCGGUUGCUCAAGUCAAGACCGAUAACAUGACCACCGGCAUCGCAACUUAAACUAUCCCGAGAACAGCAAUAAAUGAAUCCUCAGUUUGAGCGGCCAGUAACUAAAACCAUGAAAUUGACCAGUAAAAUCCUCAUUUCUGUGAGGAUGUUGAAAGAUGAACCUAAAUCGUAAUGGAUGUUCGCAAUAUAAAGAAAUCGGGGACUGAGAACGUUCGAAUGCUAUAGGACUAUGAAUCCUCCAUUUGCUGACGUUUGUUUUUCAACUAAUAAAACUACGUUGCAUUUGCUUAAGGGUUCUCUGCAUACAACUUAUUUAAUAUUUGUGAUAAUGCAAAAGUUGACGUUAAAUUUUCACACUGGGGAGAAGCUAAGGAUCUUUCAUGAUCUAAUCUAAGUGGUCGGAACCAGUAAUGGAAUUUACUACGUUUAUAAACAAAACAAGAACAGUUGAAACUGAAAUUGUUAUGUUUGUUGGUGUUAGACACAUUUUAUCCGGAUGAAGUAAGAACUUCAAUCUGGACUUCAACAAAAAUGUAAUUUACCCGGAUGAAGAAUGAAGAAAAAUGCUUGAAAUUCAAGCUUUGAGCUUCAAGCAGGAAUAGAAACAGAAUUUAGAAAACAAAGAAAAGUGGAGCAUAUGGAAGUAAAAUCUGAUGAUUUCAUUCAAAAGAAACUUUUGGCUCUAACCCAUUACAUAUACCAGUCAUUGGCUGGUCAAAAUAAACAAAUUCAUCACCUAAACACUACCUAACUCCACCUAUUACAUUGGAACUAGGUGAUAUUACUUGCACACUUGAGCAAAGCUGGUAACCAGCUCUUUGACCAUCAAGUUACAUCAAUUUGUCAUCCAAGCAUAAUUCAAAAUGAACUAAAUUACAAAAAUAUUGUUAAAAAGUAACAAAAUGAAAAUAAGACAAAACAGUAGCAUUAACAUCAUCAGAUGCAUGUAUUUCACCCAAAAAACUUAAGUGCAUAAAUUUGCAUGAACUGCAUGUCCACCUUUGUUGCUGCAUGUGUUGCAUGGGAACUAACUUCAACACUCCUCUUUAGUUUCCAUGCUUGUAACACCUAGCUGCUUUCUCAGUUUUAUAAACCUUGACACACCAAGGGCCUUUGUGAAAAAGUCAGCAACCUGUUCCUUUGAAUUGCAAUGAAUCAGCUCCACCUCUCGAGCUUGUUCCAUCUCCCUUAUCAUAUGUAACUUGAUGCUAAAGUGCUUCGUUCUACCAUGGAAGACAGGAUUCUUUGCAAUUGCAACAGCAGACUUGUUAUCACAAAAGAUCACUUUUGCCUCCCUUUGAUGUAAGUUAAGAUCAUCUAGAAUUUUUCUCAGCCAAAUGGCUUGAGUUUACAACAUUGGCAGCUGCAACAUAUUCAGCUUCUGCUGUUGAUUGAGCCACCAUCGAUUGUUUCCUUGAGCUCCAACAAAACAUGGUUGAGCCAAGGGUAAAAGCAUAUCCAGAGGUGCUUUUCAUAUCAUCACUUGAACCAGCCCAGUCACUAUCAGUAUAGCCUCUCAACUUCAAACUUUCAGCUUUGUUGAAUAACACACCAUAGUCAAGAGUGCCUUUGAUGUACCUUAGCACUCUCUUUGCUGCUUGAAAAUGCUGGACAUUACAGCAAUGCAUAAACCUUGAUAACAUACUCACAGCAAACAAGAUAUCUGGCCUAGUUGCUGUCAAAUAUAACAAGCAGCCAACUAGGCUCCUGUAGGUAGACUCAUUGACUGGUUCAUGAUCUCCUUGGCUUGACAGCUUCAUUCCAACAAUAAUAGAAGUGCUCGUUGGCUUACAAUUCUCCAUUGAGAACUUGGACAAAACCUUUAAGGCAAAUGUUCUCUGUCCCAAGAAGAUUUUUCCUUCUGUUUGGCGCACCUCCAUUCCCAAAAAAUAUGUCAUUAGCCCCAAGUCAGACAUUUCAAACAUGUCCUUCAUUUUUGCUUUGAAUUCAGCCAACAUGUCUUGAUCUCCUCCAGUCACCAAAAGGUCAUCGACAUAGAGGGAUACAAUAAUCUGUAUUUCAGCUUCAUUCUUCUUAACAUAUAAUGUUGGCUCACUAACACUUCUGUUAAAUCCCAAACUGACCAAGUAACUGUCAAUUCGAGCAUACCAGGCUCUAGGAGCCUGUUUCAGGCCAUACAAUGCCUUCUUAAGCCUGUACACCAUUUGUUCUUUGCUAGACACAACGAAGCCUUGAGGAUGAUCAAUGUAGAUCUCUUCUUCAAGGAAGCCAUUUAGGAAUGCAGACUUGACAUCUAAUUGAUGAAUGGCCCAUUGCUUUUGUGCUGCUAAAGCAACUAGCAAUCUGAUGGUGUCAAGUCUGGCUAUUGGUGCAAAAGUCUCCAUGUAGUCCAGGCCAUAUCUUUGACUGAAGCCUUUGACAACAAGUCUAGCUUUCAGCUUAUUUAAACUGCCAUCAGCAUUUUGUUUGGCUCGAUAGACCCAUUUAACACCGAUGGUCUUUCUGUUGGUAGACCUUUCAACUAGCUCCCAUGUUUGAUUCUUUUAAAUCAUCUUGAUUUCUUCAACCAUGGCAUGUUUCCAUCCUUCAUUAGCUUCAGCUUCUUCAAAACUGCAUGGCUCCAAUAUGGCAACUUGUGCUCUUUCAUAAAUUUCAGCCAAAGGUCUAGUGCCUCUGACUAGCAUGUCAUCAAUGUCCAUUUCAGAACUAACUUGAUUAGGUUCAGCAUGAUCAGCCAUCAGCUCUUCAGAAACAGCCUCUGGCUUAUUCUUCUCCCAAUUCCAGCAUCAUUUUUCAUCAAAGAUCACAUCUCUGCUUACUUAGAUUUUGUUUGUUAAAGGGUCCAAGAUCCUGUAGCCCUUCUUGACCAUACUAUACCCGGCUAAAUUACCAGGAAUAGCUCUUUUGGACAACUUGUCCCUCUUUACAGCUGGUAUUUGGCUGUAACAUAGGCAACCAAAGACUUUCAUAUGAGCCAAUGAUGGCUUGAACCCAAACCAGGCCUCAAAAGGUGUCUUGUGAGCAAGUGCUUUGGUUGGAAGCCUAUUCUGAAUGUAGACAGCAGUAUUGACAGCUUCAGCCCACAUGGUCUUGGGCAAAUUCUUCUCAAACAAUAAACAUUUGGCCAUAUCCAUCAAGCUCCUAUUCUUCCUUUCACUUACACCAUUUUGUUGAGGUGUAUAAGUGUUGGUGAGCUAGUGUCUAAUGCCAGCUUCAACACAAAAGGUAUUAAACCCAGAUAAAGUAUACUCUGUUCCAUUAUCAGACCUAAGGGUUUUGAGUUUACAGCCUGUUUUAGUUUCUGCUACAGCUUUAAAUUUCUGGAAUAUUGAGAGUACUUCAUACUUAUUCUGGUGAAAGUAUGCCCAACAAUACCUGGAGUAAUCAUCAAUAAAUAAAAUGAAGUAUCUGUUUCCAUUCAAUGAUUCAGUCUUCAUAGGGCCACACACAUCUGUGUGUACAAGCUGCAGCUUCUCAGAGGCUCUCCAUGCUUGAUUGGUAGGAAAUGGCAAUCUUGCUUGUUUUCCUAAUUGGCAGACCUUACAUACCUCUUCUUCCUCAACAGAGUUGGUGAAGUUUUCAACCAAGUCUUCACUGAUCAUCUGAGUCAUUGAUCUGAAGUUGGCAUGCCCAAAAGCCUUUGGUGCCAAAGCUUGGAGUCUUUAGAAGAAACAGCAUAGGCAUUAUCAAAGCCUUUAUUCCAGUCCACAACAAAGCUCUUUUCUGUCAUGGCUACUGACAUGAGCAUAGAUCCACUUGGAUCACUGAUCUGACAUUCAUUUUCUUUGAACACCACAGUAUAGCCUUUUUCAACUAACUGAGCUAUACUUAACAGGUUUCUGUCAAUUUCAGGAACUAACAAAACAUUUGAAAUGAUCUUGUUACCUGUUGGAGUGCAAAUAACCACAUCUCCCUUUCCUUUUGCCUUGAUAAAGUGGCCAUUGCCAACUUUAAAUUUAGUUUUACAGCUUCUGUCUAAAGACUUGAAAAUAGCUGCAUCUGGUAACAUAUGGUUGGUGCAGCCACUGUCAAGGAGCCAACCAUUUGAGACUUUCUUCUGAGCAGUUAAGCAGAAGACUGACCUGCUCCUCAUUGUCACUGCCUUCUUCAGCUACCCGAGCUUCAGCUCUUGGUUGCUGUUGAUUCUACCUUGGUCUUCCUUUCUCUUUGCAAACUUUUUCAACAUGGCCAAUCUUUUUGCAGUGUUGGCACUGCACAUCUGGCCUAAACCAGCAUUUGGCUUCUGGAUGACCAGGCCUCUUGCAAUGCUUGCAAGGUCUUUCCCAUUUUUAUAGAGCAUCUGACUUAGGUUUAUCCUUCCAAGUCUUCUUUCCUUUAUAGGCAGUGGUGCUUGAGCCAGUAUUUGUUUUAGCUUGGAAGGCACCCUCCUGGUGCUCCUCCUGUCUACUGGCCCUUCUUUGUUCUUGUGCAUAGAGAGCAUUGAUCAGCUCAGUUAGAGUGAUGCUGGUCAAGUCUCUUGAGUCCUCUAAGGAGGAUAUUUUUGCCUCAUACCUUUCAGGUAAGGUAGAUAGCACCUUCUCCAUUAUUCUUGCUUCAUUGAACUGCUCUCCAAGGAGCCUUAUGCUAUUAACCACAGCCAUUAUUCUGUCUGAAUACUGCUUGAAAGUUUCUUCUUCCUUCAUCUUCAAGUUCUCAAAGUCCCUUCUUAGGUUCAAGAGCUGCUGUUGCCUUGUCCUCUUUGUGCCUUGGAACUCCUCCUUGAGUUUGUCCCAGGCUUGUUUUGGUGUUUCACAAGCCAUGAUUCUAGUAAAAAUUACAUCACAAACACAGUUCUGAAUGCAUGACAUGGCCUUAUGCUUUUUACCUUUUUCUUUAGAGUAUUGCUUCAUUUGAGCCACUGUUGGAUUUGCUCUCAAUGGUUUUGGUUCAACAUCUGAGUUAACUACCUCCCAUAUAUCAAAUGCCUGGAGGUAGGUUCUCAUCUUGACUACCCAAAUGUGAUAUCCUUCUCCAUUGAAAACUCGAGGUGCAGCUGGUGAGAAGCUUGAUGAAGCCAUCAGUAUGUGAUCCAACUAUAAUAGGUCCACUAAGAUAAGGGCUCUAGAUACCAAUUGUUGGUGUUAGACACACUUUAUCCGGAUGAAGUAAGAACUUUAAUCUGGUAAUUUACCCGGAUGAAGAAUGAAGAAAAAUGCUUGAAAUUCAAGCUUUGAGCUUCAAGCAGGAAUAGAAACAGAAUUUAGAAAAUAAAGAAAAGUGGAGCAUAUGGAAGUAAAAUCUGAUGAUUUCAUUCAAAAGAAACUUUUGGCUCUAACCCAUUACAUAUACCAGUCAUUGGCUGGUCAAAAUAAACAAAUUCAUCACCUAAACACUACCUAACUCCACCUAUUACAUUGGAACUAGGUGAUAUUACUUGCACAUUUGAGCAAAGCUGGUAACCAGCUCUUUGACCAUCAAGUUACAUCAAUUUGUCAUCCAAACAUAAUUCAAAAUGAACUAAAUUACAAAAAUAUUGUUAAAAAGUAACAAAAUGAAAAUAAGACAAAACAGUAGCAUUAACAUCAUCAGAUGCAUGUAUUUCACCCGGAAAAUUUAUGUGCAUAAAUUUGCAUGAACUGCAUGUCCACCUUUGUUGCUGCAUGUGUUGCAUGGGAACUAAGUUCAACAAUGUUACAACUUACAAUUAUUAUGCAAGUAUCCUAAAACUGAAGGAAUGGUUGCCUAGUUUCCAACACAACAUAUCUUGAAGGCAUAUUUUUUCGCUUUGGGAUAAUUCAUCUUGUUUAAUCCAAAAGAAACAUGAUACAUAUAUUACAGGGAAAAUAAUAAGGUAAAAACAUAAGCAGCAAAAACAGCAUACAGUUGAAACAGAAACCAGAAACUGGAUAAUACAAGGAAAGAGAUAGCUGAAGUGCCUCUUUUUAACUUAUUCCCUAAUCCUUAAUUCCAAAUGUUGCUAGACCCUUCUCCUUUGGUUCCGGUUUGAUCUCCUCCCAUGCUUUUUGGUUUCAAGAUAAAGGCGAGGGAAAAGCCUGGAAAGAGCGCGAUCCAUACGCUCAAAACACCAUAUCCUCCCAUCUCUUCUAAUAGACAAGAGGUACAAUGAUAAUUCCAAAUCCAAAGAUAAACCGAAGUGCUAUUGUUAUUAGUAGUCCCCAUUUUUGGUUAAAUUAGAAUAGAUUUUGAUUUUGUUUUAUAUAUGCAUAAUGAAAUUGAAUAGGCAAGGCCUAGGGAGAAGAAGAAGGGGAGAGGGCCACCAAGGGUGCCAGUUCCACCAUCACCACCGAGAAAAGAUAAGUUUGAUGAUGAUGAGAAGAUAAAAAUUGAAAUUGAUGAAUCCCUUUUUACUACUUAAUGCUUAAUUUCUUUAAUUUUUCUAUUGUAAUGGCUUAAAUUGAGACAACUUGUUGUGUAUACUGUAAUUUGCUGUUGUUAACAAUACUCUUUUAAUUUGAGUUAUUCUUCUCUGCUAUUGAGUUUUUUUGGGGUUCAUUUUAUGGCAACUAAGUAAAUGUAGAUAUGUGUAUUGAGAAGCAGAAUUGUAGCAAUGGCAGCUCUGUUUUGGGUUGUGUUUGGAAAUGAACAUAGAAAGCUGAGGUUUUAGUGCCUUGUGUUUGGUUGAACCAACAUGUUUUCCACUGGUUUCAUUUGGAUAAUGUAUGUACAAGUGGAUGGUUGAAAAUUAUAGCAACACCACGUGUGAUUUCAUUGUGUUUAUGGUUUGUGGGAGAAUUAGAUUUGCUAGUUAAUUUGAUGGUUUGAUUGGUUCGACCAUUGGUAUAUAACCGAAUAUAGAGAAAAUUAUUGUAAAUUGAUGAUAAUAAAAAUGAGGGAAAAUCGAUGGUCUGGCUUUAUGCACCAAAUUGCAUUCCUUAAUCCUUUGAAAUAUUUGAGAAUAAAGAAACCAAAUUGCACCACUACCCCAACUAUAAACAUGCACAUUGGACAGGCUUUGUUGGUUUUUUAAGUUUUCGAGUUAUUUUGUUUUGGAUAUUUUGGAUUUGGAUUGUUUUAAGUUCAAAUCUAUUUGAUACUGACCCAACUUCAGUUCAUAACAUUUCCUCAAUACAGUUCUUCUCUGUGGCUCCUCCUAAUCACUGAGUACUUGCCGGUGGUGUUAACGGUUCUACUUCCGAUAUCACGGCUGAGUACUUUUGGACUUAAAGAUUAUUGACUUUGCUAAUAACAGACUUAUUGGAACCAUGCCUGCAAAUUAAUAUCACCGUCCAGAAGCUUGGACAUUGACCAGAAAGCAAUCGUAUUGGUAGAAGAUAAUUCAACUUAUUUAAUCGAAAAAAAAAAGUAUACACAUAUUACAAGCAAAAUAAGAAGGGGAGAACACAACCAGCAAAAACAGCAUACAGUGGAAACAAAAACCAGAAACUGGAUAAUACAAGGAAAGAGAUAGCUAAGUACCUCUUUUAACUUAUUCUCUACUCCUUAAUCCCAUGCUGGGUCCUCCUCCUUUGGUUCUGCUUUGCUCUCCUCCCAUGCUUUUUUGUUUCACGACCAAGACGAGGGAAAAGCCUGGAGAGAGCACAAUCGAUACGCUCGAAAUACCAGAUCCUCCAUCUCUUCCAACAGAUAAGAGGUACAAUGAUAAUUCCCAACCCAGAGAUAAGAGGAAAAUGAUAAUUCCAAUAGAUUCUCAAAUGAAGCUUCUGAAAAUGAUCGAAGUUGGGUGCUUGUUGGGAUUGGACCCACUAGCUUAUUAUUUGAGACAUUAAGACAUGAAAGGAAAUUGAGGUUUGCUAGCUGCAAAGGGAUCUCACUGCGUAGGCUGUUGCUUGAGAGGUCCAAGGACUCAAGUUCUUGCAGGUUUCCGAAAGAUGAUGGGAUUGGACCUGUGAAAACAUUAUGCGAAAAGUUAAGGCAAUGAAGUUCUUUGAAUUUGCCGAUUACGUCUGGUAUUGACCCUUCAAAGUUGUUGCAUGAAAUGCCAAUGGAGGUAAACAAUAUUGGGAUCUUCACCAGCUCCAACUCUAAACCUUUGGUGGUAAUUGUUAUUGCAUCUUGUUAUUUAACAAUAACAUAGACUCCAAGAGCUUCAAAUUGGAGAUAUUGGAGCUCUGAUUGGUUUUUAUCCGGAUUAGACUGCAUAGCAUCCAACGUCCUCAAACAUGUCAGAUGCAGUUUACCACUAAAAUUAUUGGAUGCUAAGUCUAAAAUAUGAAGCAUUGGCCAUCCACUAUUAUUUCCAGAACAAUCAAUGUGACCGUUGAAUUUGUUGGAACGUAAAACAAGGACACGCAACGUGGCUAUAUUCUUCAAAUGGCAUGGGAACGAGUCGUUGAUAUGAUUGUUGCCAAUGUCUAAAAGCUUCACCAUUUUGCAAUUCACCAAUGAUUUUGGAACCUUUCCUUCCAAUCGGUUUUGAUUGAGAUUGAGAGUUUGUAACCGACAACUUUUUGAAAAAGUGUCAGAAAUUAUGCCACUGAGAUUACUUCGCCUUAGAUUCAAUACCCAAAGUGAUCUACUUAUCUGAAAUAGGCAUUGAGGAAUUGGACCACUCAGGGAAUUAUUAGACAGAUCAAGUACUUCAAGACAUUUACUGUUGCAUAUCGACUCAGGGAUACUCCCUUGAAUGUUAUUAUUUGAGAGGGAGAAGAAAAAAGCAUACUGGAGGGAGUCACCAAUCUGAGCUGGUAAAACAGAGUUGAAAUUAUUGUUUGAGUAAUCCAAAUAGGCGGCAUUUGAUAGAAUUGGUAUUUCCCCUUGCAAUUGGUUACCAUGCAGGUCAAGAAUCUCAAGACUAGAAGUUAUGUUCUUCAAAGGUCUUUCGAAUCCUACAAGAAAGUUCUGAAAAAGAUUUAGGCGCGCAAGAUCUAUUGGUUUCCAAAUCCAAUCGGGUAUUUCUCCCAUGAAUUUGGUUUUUUGAAAGGUCUAGGACGUGUAAACUAAUCUGAUUUUUUAGGAAACCAGGGAACUCUGUUAAGUUACAAGAUGCCAAAUCUAAUUCGGCAAGUGUGGGGAAAGAAAGUGAAGAAAUAUUAGUAGUAGUGGCAUCAAUAGACCACCUGUUAUAUGAAAGACCAAGAGCAGACAUAUUCCUCAGGUUUUGAAAGGCACUCACUGGUAUCAAACCGCUGAAGUUGUUUGAAGAAAGAUUCAGUGAAGUGAGACCAUGGAGUUCAAACACAAACAUUGGAAAUUGCCCUUGUAACAUGUUGUUGCUAAGAUCAAGGGUAUUAAUCAGUGAAGAGGCCUUACCAUGAAAGUCACCAAUGCUGCCAUUGAAUUGAUUAUGAGAAAGGCUAAGUGUCCGCAGUGAUGAAAUGCCUAACAAAGUUGGUGAUAUGGUUCCGCUUAGCUUGUUGUUUCCUAAGCCAAUAAUUUCUAGCUUAGAAAAACCUGUCCAGUCAGUGGAAUGAAUUGUGCCAUUUAACUGAUUAAGAGCAAGUAUUAGCUCUCUAAGAUUUAUGGAUGAUGAGAAAGAUGGAAUGGGUCCACUGAAGUUAACGCUACUAAGACUAAGGCAAGUCAGGUUUGGGAAUUUUGUAAAGAAUUGUGGAAUCAAACCAGACAAGUUGUUUCUGUCCAAGCGAAUUACCGAGAGAGAUCGAAGCCUGGAAAGUGAAGAAUGUAUAGGACCUGAAAGAUAACAGUCGGACAUGCUCAACACUUGCAACUCAGUCAAUGGUGAUAAGGCUUGACACCAUUCAUUCCCCGUAGCUGAUAUAUUUACGCCAUCAAGAUAGAGAAAUCUUAGCUUCGUGAGAUUUUGAACAAGCGUCUUUAGAUUUGGCUUCUCAAGUUUCAAAGGUGUUCCAAAUAAUGUAUCAAUAGAUAAAUCGAGAGUGACCAACCUUGUCAAGCGUGAAAUCUCAAUUGGAAUUUGCCCUGUAAAGCCAGCUUCAGACAAAUUAAGAUAUCUCAAAUUCUCCAACUUAUCAAAUAUAGUAGGAAAAGCGGUCAUGAACUGAUUUAAGGCCAAAUUGAGUUGCCGAAGAUGUUGAAGACGGAAAAGACUACUUGAAUCGUCAAUUGGACUUGAAAUUUCUCGACCGCUCAAAUCAAAAUCGAAACAUGACCACCAGCAUCGCAACUUACACCCUCCCAGGAACAACAAUCCGUGGUUUGAUUCCAUUUCAUCGGCCUUUCUAACAGGGUAGGAAAUGCAGUAGGAUUGAAGUUGCUGCUCAAAUUCAAUUCUAGCAACAACUGUUUCUGAUCAUUUUGGCAUUGACCAGAAACUAAAAUCAAGUUACUAAUGCUAAGGAGAAUUGCAAAAUAUGAAUUGAAUAAGAGCCAUGAAAGCAGUAAAAUCCUCAGUUUUUUUUUGGUGAUGUUAUUGAAAGAUCGAGGAUAAUUGUAAGGGAUUUUCAUGGUAUAAAGAAAUGGAGGGAGGGGGAAAGCUAGGAUGCUCUAGGAGUAUGAAUGCUCAAUGGUUCGGUGUAGACCAAAAACAUAAACUGCUGCGGCAUGACUUGCAUGGUUGUGUUGUAGGAAGACUAAAACAAGUGAAAUUUGAAACUGGACAAGAAAAUUGCAUGCCUCUGUCCCUUUGUAUAAAACAUUAAUGAUUUUGGUUUCAGUCAUGCUGGAAAUUAUGGAAGGCUUGUUGAAUUUCAUUACAUAUGAAACGUUAUGUAUCAUCUAUUAUCCCUCUUUGUCUUUUUCUUCAAAAACCUUUCCCCAAGAAAUUUCUUCCAAGUAACACUAAUUUGAUAUUAUUAGUGUCUCAAAGCCUGCAAAGUUUUUUUUAUCAUUAGGAUGACUAAGUCCCAGGGAGAUCGUUAGCUUGUUAGUAGGAGUAGGAAGCUAAAAUUUAUUUAAGUUUGUUACUUGAGUCAUGUAUAUAAGCAUUGUUUGGUUAAUGAAUUUGAUAUCCUUCCCCCAUUCUUGCUUUCUAUGCUUCAUUUAGUUCUCAACUAAAUUAAUAGUGGUAUCAGGAGCCCCUUUUCUUGAGGGAUCCGUGAGAGAAGCUCUAUGAGAAUCUUGAGAAAAAAAUUAAGAGAUACACUUAUGAGGAAUUGAGAAAAAUGGAAUCAAAAUCAAGUAACAUGUUUGUUUUAACCCCACAUGUGUUUGAUAGAGAAAACUAUCAAGCAUGGGUUGUGAAUGCAAGCAUACAUAGAGGGUUGUGAUUAUUAGGAAACUAUCAAGGAAGACUAUGAGGUGGCUCCACUUCACAAUAAUCCAACUAUGAACCAGAUCAAACUGUACAAUGACAAUGAGAGAACCACCAUGAAGGAAAAGGCAAAGGCUUGCCUUUAUGCUUCUGUUUCACCAACCAUAUUCAAUAAAAUUAUGGUUUUUGGAUCAGCAAAGGAGAUAUAGGGCUACCUCAAGAUUGAGUAUCAAGGAGAUGAGAGGAUCAAGAGCAUGAAGGUGUUGAGCUUAAUCAGGAAAUUCGAGAGGUUGUAGAUGUAGGAGUCUGAGUCAAUCAAAGAAUUCUCAAACAAGCUGAUAGAUAUUGCGAACAAGGUAAGGGUUCUCAAGGCUGAUCUCUCUAAUUGUAGACUAGUGCAGAAAAUACUAAUCUUUGUGCCUGAGACGUAUAAAGCAACAAUUGCUUAUUUGGAGAACACUAAGAACUUGACUCAGCUGAGAGUAAUGGAGUUGAUCAGUGUUUUAUAAGCAGAGGAGGCUACUGUGGGAAGAAGGAAGCGUAAAAGAAGCAUUGAAGGCUAAGAUGCAGUAGGGUGAAGGAUGAAAGGACAAGAAGUUGAAAGGGAAGAAGAGUGAUGGUGAUAAUGGUUCAGAAGUUGUUGCAAAAGGUAAUGGUGUUGGAAAUUUCAAUAAGUACUCUUCAUGUAAGUACUAUGGAAAGUAGAACCACCCCUGUUUCAGGUGCUAGGGAAAGUCAGAUGUGAAAUGCAGAAUGUGCAACUUGAUGGGGGAAUAUUGAGAGGUUUUGCAAGGAAACAAGAAAUAAGCAUUAAGGUGGAGCACAUACUACAGUUAAAGAAAAAGAAGGCUAGUUGUUUGUUGUCUCUUACUUCUUAUCAAGCAUUCCAUGUAAUAGUUGGUUAGUUAAUAAUGGUUGCACCAAUCACAUGACUUAUGAUGAGAAGCUAUUUAAAGACCUUGACAGAUCCACUUAUUUUGCCACUGUAUUUGGUUUUUCAACAAGAGACGAAAUUCAGGUCACACAAUCUCUAACAAAAUCUUAUAUAAUACUUAAAAUGAAUUAGUGUAUAAUACUCCCAAUCUCAUAAUAUGAAGGGCUGUCUUUUUUAGUAGUGGCAAUAUGCACAUUAUCUUCAAAGGAGUUCCACAUAAUUCAGUAUUGUUCUCAAAUGAAGCUUCUGGAAAUGAUCGAAGUUGGGUGCUCGUUGGGAUUGGGCCCACUAGCUUAUUAUUUGUGAUGUUAAUAAAUGAAAGAAAAUUGAGGUUUGCUAGUUGUAAAGGGAUCUCACUACGUAGAUUGUUGCUUGAAAGGUCCAAGGACUCAAGCUGUUGCAGGUUUCCAAUAAAUGAUGGGAUUGAUCUUGUGAACGCAUUAGGUCUACGAAUCUCUUUGAAUUUGCCAAUUACUUGUGGUAUUGACCCUUCAAAGUUGUUUGUUGCAUGAAAUGUCAUUGAAGGUUAAGACAAUGAGGAUUUUCACCAAACUCCAACACUAAACCUUUGAGAGUAAUUGUUAUUGCAUCUUGAUAUCUCGAUCGACUUCUAGGACAACAAAUUAGAGAUAUUAGACCAUGUGUAAAAUGUGGAUUUAGUACAUGUACUUUAACUUGAUCAAUUUAGUCCUUAUAUUUUUUGAAUUUUGAAAAUUUAGUUUUGACCCAAUGGUAUUAGUUAAAUAUAUUUGGUUAAAUUAUGUCAUUAGUCAUGUAUUAUGCAUAAAGUUAUAGAUUUAGUUCACGUUCACCAAUUGGAUCAUUCUGAGUGACUAUAUUUUUUGAAUUUUAAAAUUUUAAUCUUAAUGCAAACGUUAGUUGUUAAAUCUAUUAACUAAUUUUUUGUAAGUAAUAUGUGAAAAUAACAAACAAAAAUAGCAUUUCACAUGUGAUAAUAUGUUUGACACAUCAAAUUUUAAAAAUAAUAGAACUUAACUUAUUAAGUUUAAUAGUUAUCAUUUAGUUAGAACUAAAAUAUUUAAAUUUUAGACAGAAAAUGACCAAAUUAAAGUAAAAGUACAAAAUCCACAACUUAAGUAAUUUACAGGGUCUAAUAGCAAAUUUGACCAAUCAGAAACAUUAAUCGGAGUUCAUCAAGCAGCCCAUUUAUAGACAACUGGUCCAAAAUUUAGCCCAUCAUUUAGAAGGUAUAGCUGGAUCAUAAAUAAGCCCUAGGGUUUAUCUAUAUAAUGGUGUAAACCCGAUGAAGCAGCAUCUUCUACCAGCUUUAGCUUUUUCCCGCGACUGUAAGCUUUUCGUCAUCACAUCACCAUGAGAGCCAAGGUAAUUUUAUGAAUCCCAUCCCACUCAGAUGAUUGCACUGCGUAGUACAUUUCGUCAUGCUAAAAUUUAUUCAAUAUUAUUAUCAUUUUAUGGGUUUUCAUUUGUUUUUUUGGGUGUAUUCUUCUUAAACAGUGGAAGAAGAAGCGUAUGAGAAGGUUGAAGAGAAAGCGCCGAAAGAUGAGGCAGAGAUCCAAGUAGACAGUGAAAUCUGUGGGUUCUGUUUUAGUUUUUGGUUUACUUUCUUAUUUCGAUCUUUUGAAUCGGUGUUAAUCCAGCAGUGGAUGGUUUUUGGAUUUUUAAAUUGUUGAGAACAGUUUACUGAUUAAUAUAGAAUGGGUAUUUUUACAAGUAUUGUGUUUCUGCUUUAUUCUGAUUAUUGAUUAGGUGUAUUCACAUUGAUUGCAAAUGUUGAUGAAUCAAAGUAUUAUAUAGCUCAUGACAAUCACUCUGUAGAGAAAGUAAUAGAAAAUACUUAAAAAAGUACCUGAUAUAUAGGAAGCUUUGGAUGAUUUGUUCUUAGAUCUCUUUUGUUUGGAAUCUUUCAUUCGCAGCACAGAUUGGGUUUGGAUUGAAUCCAUCCGAGUUAGGGUGUUUUAAGUUACUUCUUUUUGUUAUUUUGGGGUUUAAACUUUUGGGUAUUUUGAGUUACUUGAUUUGAGAUAAGUCAGGAUUUGGAUUUGGUUAAUUGGAUAGCGUUUUUGGCCAAAUGUAC